GUGUGGGGAGGUUACAAUCAUGAUAAUUUAAGAAGUGAAGGCAUAGCCAGGCACAGUAGUAUAGCAGACGCGUUGGGGGAGUGGGGGAGUGGGAAUGAGUGGGGGAGAGAGGGGUAGGUGUGGUGUGUGGGAGUGGUGGCAGUGGUGGCAGUGGCGACCAGCGCCUCGACUGCUUUCUACUGCCAGCGGACACUGGCGUGUGAAAGUACGGUAGCAAUCGGCCCCGAGCCGCUCCGCGCAGUGACAACACGGUAUCUUUGCGCCAGCAGCCGCGCAACACCCGACGCCCUUAUUCCCUUGUGCCUCCUAACACACAUGACGCCGACACAUGCACACGACUGCCCAGCAGCCACGCCGCCUACCUCCACAGCGCGGGGUAGUGCUCGCACAGGUCCUUGAUGUCCUCCUCCGGCAGCCGCAGCAUGUCGCAGGGGCUCUUGCAGAACACGUUCUCGCGCCGCUUGAUCUUUGUGCCCACCGCCUCGGUGCCCACGCCCACCUGCGGCGCGUGGCGUGGUGUGGCGUGCACACGGCGACGUGAGCAACAGGCGGCAAGCGCGGCACAUGAGCUAAACAUGCAAUGGCGCAGCUGCGAAGCCACGCAAGAUGAAUGCGCGCCAAGCACCAGCGCCAGAAACCCAACUACAACCACGACCACAAGCCGCUCCAGGCUGCGCCGGAGCCCCUACCAGACCCCGGAGGCGACGCACCACGGCCCCCAGCCUGCACAGCCCCCAGCCCACCGGCCUCAGCAGCGGCCUCUCACCUCGCCCGACGCGUCCGCCGCCACGGCCGCCUGCUGCUCCUGCGCGAGCUGCCUCAGCACGGAGCCCUCCCCGAACACGGUCACCUCGGGCACCACGUACAGCACCGUCCGCUGGUCCGCCGCCAGCACCUGCAGCUCGCCCUGCGCGUGCACAGACGUGUGUGUGUGUGUGUGUGUAGGGGGGGGGUGCGUGUGUGUGUUUGUGCGUGCAGUGUGUGUUGGUUGGUGCGUGCGGUGUGUGUUGGUUGGUGCGUGCAAAGGCACGGCAGGGGCGUGGCAGGGGCACGGCUUGGUCCAGGGCACGGCGAAACUACACAACACCCACAACCACCAUUGACACCACACACACACACACGCCCCCACCUGCAGCAGGAUGAAGACGUCCGCGCCGCUCUCGCCGCGCAUGUACACAAACGUGUCGGCGCUGAAGUGCGUGGGCUGCAGCCGCACACACAGGUCCGUCAGGAAGACGUCGUCCUCUGACAUGGCCUGGGGGGAGGGAGGAGAAGGACAACAGGUUAACAGGGGGAGGAGGAGGAGUGGGUUUAUGUGGACGGCGAGUGUGGGUGCCAUACCGCCAACCUGCCCAAGCCUUCUUGUGUGUCGAGGUUGGCAGAUGUGCCAGCACAGCAGCAAGAAAGGCCGAUGCCGGAUGCAUGACCAGCCGUCACACCCCAGCACGCAAGGCAGUAGGCAAGCCGCACCACGGCAUCAGCACCACCACCGCCACCGGUCCCUGCCCCUUAUGCUCACCUGCAGCAGCGGCACGUUGGCGAUGGUGGGCAGGUAUAGGUGGCGCAGGAUCUUGGCGCGCAGCUCGAAGGGCAGCCGCGCCAGCACCGCCUGGCGGUCGUAGGCGCGGACCUUCUGCUUCUUGAAGUAGGUAAGCACCCUGUGAACGGGUGAUGGGGUGUGUGAUGGGGUGUGUGAUGGGGUGUGUAAUGGGGUGGGGGUGGGGGUGGAUGGGGUCAUGAGUUGAUAGUUGAUGAAUGGCAGACUGAUGGUAGGUUGCCGGCUAGAUGGGGUGCAGGCAUGGGUGCCGGGCAGAAGGGGCCUACGGUGCACCCGCAAAGGCUGGCGGCCGCAGCCCUGGCCAGGUCCGGGCCCUGAUUCCUGCCAGUCGGUAGCUUCGGUUGCGUUACCGGCAGUGCGCGCCUUGCCCCACCACGACGGCGCCCAGACAAGCCUGACGCCCGCCCGCCCGCCCGCCAACACAACGCCCCACGUAGCCGCAGCGGCCCCGGCUCUCACUUGCGCGCCAGCGGCCGGGGCAGCUCCACAUCCUUCAUGAAGGCCGACAGCUCGUGUAGCUGCUCGCCGCGGGCCACCUGCGUGUGCGUGUCAGCGUGUGUGCAUGCGUGUGUGUGUAAAAGAAAGGAAACGAAGCGCGUGUGUGUGCAAGUGUUUGUUUAGAGCCCACAUAGUGCAAGGUGUUGCAGUAUGUCCAACACAUGCAGUGACUGCGGUGCAGCACCCGGUGCCGCGACGCCGCACCUUGUCUGCAUCCAGGCGGCUGACGAUGGACGCCAUGCGACCGAAGCAGAAGGACAGGAAGAAGCCGCCGAUGACCAUGGUGAACAUGCACCAGAUCUGAGCGGGAGUCAUGUGUGUGGGGGGGGGGCAAGGAUGUUUGGAAAAGCGGGUCAGGGGGGGAAGGUGGGUUUGUGGGGAGGAGGACGGCAAUGUGUACUGGGACGAGAGCAGCGGAUGAUAUGCCCGGGGGGAGGGGGGGCUGCAUGGUAUGCCCCUGUCAUGCUCUCCUGCUGCGGGGCAAAGUGCUCAUCCACCGCCCGUCCGCCCGCCGCGCAUGCCCCACCGCCACCGCUCCGUGGGCCGCCCACCUUCUCCGCGAUGGUGGUGCCGUAGAUGUCUCCGUACCCCACGGUGGUCAUGGUGGUGUAGGCCCAGUACAUGGAGGUGAUGUAGCUGCAGGGGAGUUGGGCGGCGGCGUGGCGGCGUGGGGCAGUUGGUAGUUGGCAAGGAGCUGACGACAGGGAUUUGGCAGAAAGAAGACGAAAUUGACUGUUCGGAGAGAGCCGGAGACAUUUCAAGACGCCGGGCCCCGUUGCAUGAUUUGAACCGUGAUGGGUGAAGGGACUGCCGCCACCGUGCCCACGCCUUCCUGGUCUUCAAGUGCCAACCCCCACCGCCUCCCGCACUGCAGCUGCGCCCCCCGCCCCGCUCCUACCGGUAUGGGAAGCUGAAGUCUGUCUUGCAGCGCAGCUGCGGCAGCUGGUCGCACUUGGGGCAGGCCACCAUGAAGUAGAAGUCGGGGCACAUGUACCAGUAGCCCGUGGCGGGGUCCUGAAUGGGGCGGGGGCACGUGGCAAGGGGAUGUCGGUCAGGCCAAUGAGCACCGCGCAAUUCUGCGCAUGGUGUACACAUUGCCGGUGGCAGGACCCACGCAACGACUGCGACUGCCGACGGGCCGCUGGGUGAAGCCCCACGACGCUGACGCCCCCGCACGGAAGUCAUGGCAGCACACGCCACACACACACACACACACACACACACACACACACACACACACACACACACACACACACACACACACACACACACACACACACACACACACAAACACACACACACACACCGCAGCCCCACAGCCCCAACGCCACGCAGCCCCAGCGGGUCGUGUGUGUGCGCCCUCACACCUGCGCGAUGAGGUCCGAGGGCGUGGGCUUCGUGCCGUCGGGCGCCAGGUCUAUGCGAUUGGGCAUGACCACCUGGUAGUAGCCGCCCAUCUUGUCCAUCACCCACGUGGUCAGCUCGCCCUCAUUGAUCAGCCGCCGUUCCUCUGCGCGCGUGUGGCCGGCGCGGUGUGGCGGCAAGCAGGGUUACAGGAGGGUUGGGUCCGAUCCCCGAAGCCCAAACUCCGCAGCAGGUGUACGGUGUACGGUGUACAAGGCGCGUGCGGUGCGCGCGGCAGCACGCACACGUCAGCGUUCAUCUCCCGUCCCGACAACAUCGCACCCUAUUGACCGCCGGGCCGAGCUCCGGCACGGAUCCGCCCCGCGGGCGCCCCGCUGGCGCACACGCACCGUUGGUGUACCACCGCGGUCCGCUGAAGAGGUAGAAGAAGCAGCCGGACAGGUGGCCCAGGUACACAAGCACGAUCAACAGCUCCAGCAGAGACACCACCCAGCGUGCCGCGUAGAACUCGUCCUGCGGGGGCAGGCGGGGAAGACGGGUGGGGUAAGUGGUGGGGUGGGCGUUCGGUGGCCAUUGGCAUAGAGGAAGCCAAGGCAGGCGGCGGUGUGCGCCUGUGUGUGUGCGGCACAAGGCAAAGCGAGCGCCGUAGCCGCGGCCCCGCGCAGACGCGCCUAUCGCAUUCGAAGCGCCUGUCGCAGAGCUCCUCACCUGGAUCUUGCCCAGCACGGUGCUGAUGGACAGCACGUUGAAGUUCUUGAAGAUCCACAGGAUGCGGAAGAUGCGCAGCAGGCGCAGCAUGACGAUGAGGCUGGCGGCGGAGUCGUUGGUGAUGAUCAGGUCGCAGUUGCCGCUGAUGCUGCAGCCCCACGUGCCCUGUGAAGAGGGAGUGCAUGGGGGCAGUGGGAUGGGGGGCACGGGAAGUGGCGGGUUCAGGGUGGCGGGUUUCGGCACGGGAGGGGACGGCAGGGGCGCAGGGUACCUUCCCGAGCCACACACCUCAAGAGCUAGCAUGCGCGCAAGCCAACCCGCCAGCCUAGCCACCUUGACCUUGACUCUUAAGCAACAUGUCAUGUCUCGCCUUUGCCAUCGCAUUAGGACAUCUCAACCCGACCUGCCAUCCAACCCACAGCAACCCCGCCCCCUGGUCUGGGCCCCACCGUGUCUUUCCAGAAACCUCCCCUGCCGCUGCGCCCGCACCUCGAUGCCGCGAAUGACGUAGUCGCUUGGGAAGGUGGCGAGCAGGUCCACCACGAACCAGGUGCGCAGGUAGCGCAGCGCGAUCUUCUUGUGGUUGGUGAUCAGCUCGCCCGUGACCGGGUGCUGCGCGGCCCCGCGGCGUUGUGCGUGAGGGAAAGUGGUGGUGUUGGAUGAUGGUCGCGGUAACUGAAGAACCCAAGGCAUGUACCAUACGCAGCGGAAACAUAGUCUUCACUCCCCAUCGACACUUCGGAGCGUUGCCUUGGGGAGCCGCGCCCACGGUGUACACAAGUGCGGUGUCCCGUACACCGCGACCAGCCAGCAACCCAAUGUCCAUGCUUCACGCCUCGACGUGUGCACCCCCGCAUGUGCGUCCUCGGCGCGAUGCAGGGGCACCUGGGCCCGCUACAGCCUCAACACCAACGAGCGCAGCCCUUCCCAAGCAGCUCCGGAUCGAGCUACUCCUCCAGCUUGCCAUCGCCGGCUGCACUGGCCUUAGACUGCCCUUUCCCCGCCAGACCCCAGCCCCAUCCCGGUCCCGACCCCGGCCAGCGCCCCGGCCCUGGCCCCACCACCAUUCAAUCCUACACACGUUACGCACACGCCCAGCGAGCCGCCGCCCCGCCCCACCUCGUAGGCUGUGAAGAAGUUGAGCACCAGGUCUGUGUAGAAGAAGAAGUCGAUCAGGCCCUCGAACCAGAACCAGAAGCCCGUGGCGGGCUUGUCAAAGCCCUGUUCGGUGGGCCGAGGUGGCGCAUGGAAACAGGGGUGUGAGCUGGGGGUUUAUGUGCCCGAGCCCAGUGACAAAGCCCCAUCAUCACCAGGAAGGGGGGGGGGGGGACGCAGGGGCUUCGGCACCAUGAAUGGGAUGCAAGUGUGAAGGCAAGAGGCGUGGAGAAGGUGGCCCGUGGCGGCGGCCCCAGUGCCCGGAGCUCGGCACCCAGUCACCAUCUGCUCUGUCGCGGUCAUGUGUCUAACGUGCCCUCACAAACAGCGCCACCGCGCUCGACGACUCCCACAUUUGGCUGCUAGGUGCAUUGGUUGUCAGGCACGAUACGGCAUACCACCUCAUCCGCACCCAACCCAGUUUGUUGAGCUCGGGCACACAACCCCGCGGCCCCGCCUCACCACGCGCACGGGCGUAACCCAGAUGAUGUACAGCACCACGAACAGCUGGACGUUUAUCCACCUGCAGGGCAAGAGCACAGGCAAAACAGCAAUGGAAGUAGCUUCUUUGUGUCACGAUAACACAUGAGGUGGUGGCGUGAGGGCAGAGUCGGCAAGGAUCCCUGGCGUUGCGCCAGCCAGCUGCCAGGCCAGCCAAGCCAAGCCACUGCGUGGCGUGGCCGUGGGCCAAACCCGACCUUCCCGCCAGGCAAACCCCAGUCCACAAUACUCACAUCUUCCUGAACCUGGAGUCCGGCAGAAUAACCCAUUGCUUUCUCUUCCGCAUUUGAGUGUGGUGCUGCAAGGGGUGCGGGCAGGAGUUAGAACAGCGGCCUGGAGAGCAGACACAAUCAGCGCCGACGGCCGGGGGCAAUGUCCUGUCGCCGCACCUGCUCAUCCUGGAAUGCUCGCAUACCAUCGCCAUCACGCAAAUCCACCAGCUCCAGGUCGUCGGCUUGUAGCUCCUUGCUCGAGCGCGUUCUGCGUUCGCAGAGCGGUCACCCGAUGAAGCAUUUUGGCUUCUGAACCCGAAUUAGGACAACCCGCUCGUUCCACGCACUUCGGCUUGUAGUAGUCGCUGUACUGGUAAUCGAUAUCAGAGAGCACCGGCACCUUCUCUGUGGAAUUUCGGCCUAGCGACGUCGCUCCCAAACGAGUCUCGUUCCCCUCGAAGCCAUCCACGCGGUUCCAAGACAUAGUCGGCAUUUAUACGCAGUGCCGGUUUGGCCUGACUAAGGCGCAGUCGGUCGUCAGAGGAGCAUUCUGGGUCAAUUUUCAGACACUCGUGGGAAAAGUGGCAGGGGGCCUGGUCACGUAUGAGCGUGUCUAUACAAUAAGUUACAGGAGCUUGCAUAGAUAGCGUAUUACCCCGAGCCGGCCCUCAAAAGACUCUCAACUGGAUCUGGGCACGGCACGUGGGACCCCGCGCAAACCGCCCGUCGCCCCCUCAAGCCGCCGCACGCCCAACUGUACUUCACCAGCACCCUCACCAACUGUCCCAAGCCAGCCUAUGGUCACCAGAGCACAUCGCCGGGCGCCCGGGCUCCAAACCACGUCCGGCCAUCCCGCCGACCGAAACGCCGCACAUGCAACGCGAUGCACGUUGUCAAGAAGCCCGCGGGCAAAGCCCAACACCGACAAGCUCCGGCGUAGACGACUGCAGACUCCGGUUUGCUAGUGCAGACUCCGCCUCCUGAUGGCCGCAGCACCAGACCCGCAGCACCAGACCCCCACGCACCCCUGCACGCUGGCCACCGAGCUCGUGAUGACAAAUGUUCCCCGCCGGUCACGGGAAAAGGGGCUGAGCCCCUCCACAGUCUGAGGCCGAACAACCUCAUCGCCCGGACAUAGCCGGGGUCGGUUUCCACAGGCACAUAGCCAAACCAGGUGCCUAGCAAUCGCGAUGCCACAGCAGAGCCAACCACAGCCAGACAUCAACACCCCCAACCCCCAAACCCCUCCCCCAGCCCCGCAGCCUCUCAGGCGCUGCCGUAGCGCGUCCGCUCCUCCUCCUUGUCUGCGGCCUGCAGUUCCGGCAUACCGGUGCCGUGUGGGUGAGGGCCACACGGUGCGGAGGAGCACGGGCCAUGCAGUUCCGGCUUGGCUCCAGGCCCUUGCAGCCUACACCGCUUCCUUAGUCAUCAGGCCACCGCCAGACCGCCUGCUGCCUUGAUUGUGUCAUGUGUCAAAAAGAGACAGCCCACAGCAGUGGCCUGUCUGCCCGCUGACUCCUGAUCCGCACAUCCACCAGCCCACGCGACCCAGUCAGGCAAGCCGGCCGGCCUGCCCGCCCCCCCUUUCCCCUCCGCCCACACCCUCCCAGCUCACCCGCAGCAGGGAGUCCACCACCCGUGUGGCCUUGUCAUCCUCCGCCUGGUGGCGCGGGCGGUGGCGCGGGUGUGCACGAAGGCGGUGUGAACCUUUGAGCGUGUUUGUGUUUGUGUUUGCGCGCGAGUGUGUACACGGUGAAGCACGCACGCUCUCGCACCCUCGCGUACACCAACUUGUGCUGUCAGGGGCCCGCAGGCCUAAGCAGCCCCCGGAAGGCCGACCCGCCCGCGGGGGAGGGGCAGCCCGCCCGCCCGCCGGCACUCCGCACUCAGCGACUCGGCCACGCACCUUGCUCUCUGCCGGCAGUUUCAUUUCAUCAACCUGCGCUGUGGCUGUGGACAGCUUCUCCACCGCCACCGCCGCCCUCUCUGGCAGCGUCUCGCGCGACUGCUGCUGCUGCUGUUGCGCGCCUGAGUCGCUCAUUGGCUUCUUGAGUUGCUAGAGCUUGGUUGGGUGUUGUUAGGAGUGUGCUGGAAGGAAGCCUGCCUGUGUUGACUGUGUUCGGAGUCAGGACAGUCGACCCAUCGGGCCCAUUCCCACGGCACCCUGAGUCCCUAGCCACCCGCUCUGCUCCGGCCGUUAGUUGUUCGCAGGACCAAUAUAACGUACGAUAGCCGCACGUCUGUCGUCUCAGCCUCUGCUGCUCCCUGAGUGGCUGUCCCUGCCGGCUGCGACACGCACCCUUAACACCCAUUUGAGACACGGCAGCUGGUAGGCACGGCACGAGUUACAGGUGCAAGCAGGGAAGACCGUUAGUGUGCAUGAUGAGCGUCACACGCACCACGCACAUCACGCUUUCCUGCCUGUCGCCCACAAGUCACCCAAGGGACCUUCGUGGAGCACACGAACGGCUUCCCUGCUUGCACCUGUAACUGGUGCCGUACCCGCCAGCUAUCGUGUCUCAAAACGGUGUUAAGGGUGCGUGGGGGUUGCGCGAUUUCCGGUUGGUAAGACCGGUAAGACCGGCGGCUCACCGCAGCAGGUAUGCGAGGUAACUUCAGGUAACAUCCGUAAACCGUCGCUUUGCUGCAUCGCAUACACUGUCUUUGCGCAACGUUUUCCUUGUGCUCUUUAACACAAGUCACCCACCUCCCGGCAUUCACUCAACUCUUCAACCUGGUCUUCUGCCGUCGCUGCUGCUGCCCUUCACGCGCACAGCUCGCGCAGCCUCGCCCACAACCCUACCCCCAUGCCUCAGCCUUGCUAGCCACCUACCACGAUGCGCACACCCCACCCGCCGCUCCCUGCUCCAACCCACACACCACCACAUCAACAACACUCCGCCGGCCAUCCAGCUCCACAGCUAUCCCCUUCCAUUCUUAGCCCUCCUCUCUUCCCACCCUCCACAAUCUCCAUCCUCAUCACACGCCCUACGCGUCCUCUACCUUCUCGGCCAUGUCGCGCGCCGCCUCAAAGCCCGGGUUGGCGCCGCUGCGCUCCACCUGGGCCGGGUCCUGGGUGUCGCGGCCGGGGGCCUUGUCCGCCAGCACAGCGGCGGUGUCGUCCGCAGCGUUGCGGACCUGGGCGGUGGGGGGGGGGUGGAGCAGGAGUUUGGGGUGGGAUGGGGGGUUGUUCAUUACCCCAAUCCCAAAGAAACCAAGACCCAGAACCAGGGGGUGUUGGGGGAAAGUUGGGCAAGGCUAUGGUUGAAAUGGGUUGGUGCGGAGGGCGGGGAUGCUUGUUACUACUAAGCGAUUUGUCAGGGCUGGCACGCCACGCACACGCCACACGCCAAGCGCGAUGCAACCCGCCAAUAUGCCGCCCCUCCCCGCCCGCCCAAAUCCCAAUCCUCACUAGGCACUGCACCCCAUGGUGGCCACCUUGUCCGCCUCGUCGCUGACUGCCGCCUUGGUGUCCUUGUAGGCGUCCCCAGCGCGGUCCGACACACCCUGAGCGGUCUGGGGGGACGGCAUAGGGUAUGCAGAAGAAUAAGCUCAGACGGGAGACAAUCGUGGAGGCAAGUGAGCUGGGGCUAGACACUUCAAGACAUGGGAAGAGCGACAGGCGGCAUUAUUCGUGGUGCGCAGCUCCACCCGGUGACGGCAGUGGUGUUGCUGGUGGCGGCGGUGGACUGGCUGCGCUCGAACACUCCCACGUGCGCGCGCGCGCACACACACACAAUCACACACACAAUCACACACACACGCACACAACCACAAACACACACACACGGACACGCCAAAUACGGUACACACACAGGCACACACCUCCUUGGUGCGGUCAAUGAGCUCGUUGGUCUUGCGCUCCGCCGCUGAGGCCAGGUCGUGUGCGUCCUCGCUGGCCGAGGUCUUGGUGCGGUCCUUGUCGUCGCCGCGGCCGCCGGCGUCGGCGUCGGUGCGGGUGCUGCCGGUGUUGAGGAGGUCGCUCUUGGCGACGCGGUCGGCGGUCUCGUUGGCUUGGUCGCGUGCGGCGUUGAGCGUGUCCCGAGCCUGCAGCAGGGGAAGGAAGGGGGCGGGGGCAGGGGGCAGGGGAAGGAAAGGAUUGGUGAGGACGGGUACGUACGUACAUCAGGAAAGCGGCGUUAAGGCUGGGGCGCUAGGCUUCAGCAGCCGGUGAGAGAAAGGAUGGUGGGGUUGGAGACUUGGAGGUGGGGUUGGGGGUUCGGGCGCGUGAGGUAGCCGGCCCGAGGGCUGAUGACACCUUGCCCGCUAGCGGGGGAUAGGACAGGAUAUGCGAAUGAUUGCGCUGGUAAAGCAUAGCUUGGCUAGCAGCAGCCCAAGACCCGCCGCCUCCUGUUCCGGAACUCCCGCGGCGGCCUGAGGCGGCUUGCAACUCAGCUAAUGCUCUUGCCAACCCGCGGCUGCCUGCUGCCUGCUGCUGCCUAGCCAGGAGCACCUACCGCUGCUGCACCUAACUCAGUCCCGCAGUCACCACGCACGUCAAUCACUCACCGCGUCCUGGCCCGAGGCCAGGGUCUCCUUCACUCGGUCGCCGGCCUCACGCGCGGCGUCGGCGAGCUUGUCCAUGAUGCUUCCCUCAGACAUGUUGAUGUGGAUCUGCUGUUUGUGUUAAAAACGCUUCCGUAUGGCAGGUGGGCGAGGAGAGGGUGCGUGGCAGGGUGGGGCGAAGCUUUUAUUUGCCGGUCCCGCCGCGGGCCCUUUGGCCCAUUCCGGCGCCCCCGGGAUCCCAUCCCAGGCCCCGGAAGCUGCAUACCUGGCCCUUUUCCCCAGCCGAACGCUCCUAGCUCUAUCUCCGAUUCUACUUAACUUACAGACAUAACAAGAGCAGCGCAUUAUGGACCGCGUGCUGGACGCGGGCGCAGAGGCGCUGGAGUCGCUGGGGGCCCAGCUGCGCGCGGGCGCAGAGGGCCUGAGGCGGGAGGACCAGCAGCAGCAGCAGGCGCAGCCAGAGGCUGAGGCUGAGGCGCGGCGGACGGAGGGUCAUCAGGUGAGAGGCGCACGCGGCGGUGGAGUUUUCAACCUUGACCCCCGGGUCCCUUCAGUGUUUUGCGGACCGCCGCCGGGGGCAAGCAGCCAUUGAUCGAAGAUGCUUUAGGGAAAACGAAAUGCGCAGCCAGCCUUUUCGCUUUCCACUGUCACACUCGGCGCACGCACGACACGCGCACCUAACGCUCCGCCGCCCCCACACUCUCCCCGCCCCCGCUGCCGCCACAGGUUGUGGCUGCGGACGGCAGCACCACCAGCGAACUGUACGGGCCGCAGGGACUGAACGCCACCGCCCCAGACAUCAGCAGCAGCAGCAGUGGCGGCAGCCAGCCCCGCCGCCGUGAGGCUGCUGCUACAGCCAGCGGCCGGGAGGAGGAACCGCGGCAGCAGCAGCAGCAGCAGCAGGCACCGGCGCAGCAGCAGGACGGCGGGGAGGCCGGAGUGGGCAGCGACGGCGGGCGUGGUGGCGGCGGCGGCGGCGGCGGUGAUGGCGGUAGCCUGGGUGAGGCCAUGCGCGGCGCGCAGGAGCGGCUGGCGGAGGAGAGCGAGGCGGUGCGUGGGGUGGGGUGGGGUGGGGUGCGCGCCUUGUCGUGUGUUGUGCAGCGUGCGCGUGUGCGUGUGUGAGUGAUGAGUGGGCGUGAAUUGCGUUGUCGCGUUCGUGAGUGGCGAUGGUGGGAGGCAUAGGCAGGCGUAUGCGUGUCCUUUGUGUUUGUUUGUGGUUUGCCUCACGCUUACGCUCUCACGCUAGUCGCGGACCUACCUCCUGCCAACAUGCGCACAGACCCACCAAACACCACCUCACCUCCACGCGCCCCACUCGCUCACGCUCCUAGCAUGAUUUCCGUCACGGACUUAACUUGCCACUCACUGCCUGUCUGCAGCUGAAGCAGCGCUUCUCAGGAGGACAGCAGCCCGCGGCGCCCAAGGGCAGCGCCGCCGCCGCCGCCGCCGAGGAGGCCGCCGCCGCUGAGGCCCGGCCUGUGGAGGGCUUCUCACCCGAGCUGCAGGCCACACUGGCGGAGGCCAAGAGCCGCAUCGACGCGGAGACCCAAAUGGUAGGCCCGGGUGGUGGUGGGGGUGCGGGUGCUCGUGCAGGUGCGGUUGCGGGUGCGGUUGCGGGUGCAGGAGCGGACGCGAUAGCGAGUUAGGUGUGCACGUACGUGAAGGCGUGCGCUUUCUUAUGACCCGUGCUUGGCUUCUUGGGCCAAGGGCCCGGCGUCAUGGUGUCCUCUCGUUCCCCCGCCGCCCCCCUCCCCCCUCCCGCACACGUCACACGCCCCCGGCCCCCUCUCCUGCGUGCAUGUCACGCAGCUCAAGGAGCGUUUCCACAUGACCUAACCACCGGACGACCAGACGACUAAAUGACCUGAUCACCGGCCGACGACCGGACGACCGGACGCCCACGACAUUAGCUGUCAGCGGGGCGGCACCCGUGGGCGCGGUAAUGAUGGACAAUGUGGCUUGGGAGGGGCGUGAGUGCUGCUGUCUAAGGAAGAUGUUAGCAGGUGCCCUGUUGAGGCGUUGAGCUAGGCGUGCCAACUACAAAAAGCGCACGCCGUACUCUGGGCCGGGUACUGCUGUAGCCAUGACGUCAGGACUAUCAAGAUAGGGCCAAUUGAACAACCACACCAGGUGUGACGGCACGGUGUGAUGGCCUCUAGAUGGUAAGGGAUGCAUCCCGCGUUGCUAGGCUGGCACGGGCGACUUGCUCGGACGUGUUGCAGUGAAGAAUGGGAAUGUACGCGUGCCUGUAACCACGGCUGACGCACUGCCUGGCCGAAUCUAUGAUUGCGUUUGUGUCGUGGGAGACACAAACGUACGUGUGUGUACGUGAGAACCGAGAAUGGGUGUGUGAUGGGACAGGGUUCAAGGCAGGUUGGAGAGGUCCCGUAGGGUGCAGCUGAUGCCCGUACCCUCAAGCAGACGGCAAACAGUUUGCAAUGGCAGAGCAGAAGUGCAUGGCUGAUCGAACGCCAGAGUUACUGUACCGACAAGUUGCUGGCUGGCUGGAAGUUUGCUGAUGCGUGAGAACCGAGAAGGGGUUACGGAUGUUAUUACAGAACCCACCACCAACAGUGCCUUAAGGCCGGGGCACCGACCGGCUUCUCGCUCCAUCAGGGUUUGCAUGUUGUACAGCGUCGUCCGUCGUGCGCGCUGGUAAGCAGGUUAGGUCACAAAUUAGCCGCCAGCAAGCACUGUUGCUGGCUGACGUUCAAACCAUGUGCGUUUUCACACCACUAUACGGGUACGUUCAAAGCCUCCCAAUCUAGCCAGCCCUCAAAACGACAAAACUUCCCCGGGCAGCCACCCAGAAACAAACAGACACACUCGCAGCAAUGAUGUGCAUACAGUAUCAAUCAGUAUGAGACAAACACCCCGUUGUCGUACGUGUGUGGUCGCCACUUCGUCCAAUACAGGUAGGUCACACAGUCACCGCGUCAUUCUCCGGCGCUUCCAGAGGGCGCACAUCGUCAUCAUGCUCGUAACUAUGCCGUAAACUGUAAAGACCAGCAGCCAAGCGACGCGCAGGCUACGCAGUUGACGCAACUCAGGCACCUAGCUGUACCUGGUGCAGUACAGGGGCCCGUGCCGUCCCGCCUUCACUGCUCCUGCUUGCUCGCCCACGCGCCCGCCCGCCACGCCUCGCCCCGCGCCGCGCCGCACCACACCAGGCCGCAUGUCCUGCUCUAGUCCAGCAUGAGGCAGCAGCAGCACAGCGCCGCCAGCGCGCCCAAGCCGCAGCACCACUUGGCGCUGUCGUCGGAGUGGUGGCCGUGGUGCUGGUUGUAGUGGUGGGAGGGACCCGAGGGGCCGGGCCCCUGGAUGUACACCGGCUGCGCGUACGCCCUACGUGUAGGGGAGCAGGAGCAGGAGGAGAAGCGGGGGCGGGGGUUUGGAGACAGGCGGUUUGGCAUCACAUCAUACAGAUACAAAACAUGCGGUCGCGCCUGGCACGGGGUCGGCGUGUAGGGUGUGACGCGAGGCUUUACGAUGGCCCCGACCGGGGGAGGCCCCGCAGGCGCUGCCCCGGCGGCGCUUCGGACAGCCUGUGCGCACGUCUGUGCCUCCGUGCGCAAACACACGGAUACGCGGGCUCGAGCUCUCACCCGGGAGGGCCGGGGGGCGGGUAACCACCGGGGUAGCCUGCAGGUGACGAAAGCACAGGGCGCAGCGUCAGCAUACGCACGCGCCACUACACCCCGCCCUCCCAGAAACCCCUGUACAAGCAACGGUUUUGGCCUGUGGGCCGAUGGCACCCCACAAACCCGCGAUGCAUCACUGCAGUAUCGCACACGCACCAGGCGGCGGCGGCGGGCCCUGCGGCGGGUAGCCAGGAGGGGCGCUGUAGGGCGAGGGGUAGGCCGGCGGGGCACCAUACCCGGGGCCAGGAGGGGGGUAGCCGGGUGGGCCCCCGUAGGAUUGCGCCGAGGGGUAGCCGGGCGGGGGUGGGUAGCCCGGUUGGGGCGGGUAGCCCGGAGGUCCAGCGGGAUAGCCUGCGCGUGUCAGCGAGGCACUGGGCGUCAGAUAACGGUGAGCGUGGCCCGGUGUGGUCAUAGAGGCGGUGGACCCAGGAGCCUUCCGAUACCCAUCUACACACCUGGUACGGCCUUGUUCGGGUCUGAUCCGGACGAGUGCAGGGGGAGGGAAUUCAUCGGGAAAGAAGGGGCACGAAGGUGGUUACGCGCGGGUUACGAGUUACGCCCGCUGGUGGCUGGAAAGCCCACGGCUAUGCGGCAAUAUCACCCCGGCCUGAGACAGCAUACGCCCCAACCAGGUAAAUGCGACGCCUGGCAACGUGGAGCGCUCGCAGCUUUGGAUUCACAUCCGUGCAGGUGGUUCGGGCGCGGACACGCAAAGUCUGCCCGCUGCUUUCAUCCCGGCUGUAGAGGUAAACGCAGCACAAUCUCAAGCUGCCCCCGAGGCCCGACAGCAGCUGGCCGGCGAAACGACAACGUCAACGCCUGCAUCAACUCGUCCACGCACGCAGCAUCGAUAUCCAGGCUCGACUUACCCAUUACGUGGGUGCUAUGUGCUCUUUGCGCCGAGAAUUAGGCGACCAGUCCAGUGCAGGUUGACGAAAAGGCCAGCAGUCUCCAAGUCAAACACGCGCAAUAGGGCUUGCGCUUGGUCGAUAACCUCGUUGAGUAUAUCGCAGCAGAGGCCUCCCGUCCGCAGUGGUGUGGGUGUGUGGUGCAAAACUCUAAGCUGUUCCCUAUCACAGCCAGCGCACACGACAAGCAGCAAGGAAACAAAAUCUGUGUAAGCAGCGGCUGGAGUUCUGAUGUAACUCAUUAGGAGCUGCACGUAGAUCCUCGCCUUCUCGUCAAGCGCGUGCCCCCACCUCCCAGUCUGCCACCCACCACUUCACACCUUUGCUUCCGCGUCCCCCGCCUGCCGUCACUGUCACAACCUCCUAACGGUCUCCUUACAAACCAACGCUUGCCUGACCCUAUGUCUACACGGACGCACUUGGGUACGCGCAUUCAGGGGCCGCCACGCACCUUCAGCCUGCUUCCUCUCCCCCUCCGCUCUACGGCGCAGGCAGCCCUGGGCUCCCUCUGCCUCCCCUGCCUCAACGGGUCCUUUGAAACCUCUUCACUCACCCCGUCCAAAACCGCCGCCCCGCAGCGCUGCCAUUGCAGAAUAUCACAGUAGUACCGCGUGUGGGUUUUGGGACUUCGAAAAUCCACCAACGCUUCGUUGCCUGCCUAGCAUCCAGGCACCGCCGGCGCGGUUGGCCCCGCAGGGUGCUGUGACUGCUUCACCACACACGUGCAACAUCGCUUAUGGCAACUUCAAGGUUUUGCACAGCCUCCGGGUUCUAUUAGCUGCAUUUGCGCUUGCCUGAUGUGGAAACAGGUCACCUCAGCCCGUGCUGCCCUGAACCGCCACAGCGACCCAACCAUGCACAAAACAAAGCAUGCAACGCAUGCUCAUGCACCGUAUGCAUGCGUGACCCAGCUCGCAGCUGUGCAUUGGCGCCAAUGUAUAAUGCAUUUGAAGUGGCGUCGUGCGGCUGCGACUCAAACUGUGCUAAACUCCGAGGAAACCAUCCCUCAUCCCUCAUCCCUCACCCAUCCAUCCGCACACGCACGUUCUCUCUCCUUUCGCCCCCACCCCGUCACCCCUUCACCGCCGCCGCCCGCUGCCGCAGCUCUGUGCUGCUGAUGUCCAUCCGGAAGUCCGCCUCCGUCAGACCCAGCGGGAACAGAUCCGCCAUCUGGGUCGGCACCGACACGUCAGCCAGGGUGAGGAAGCGGCCGCUGGCGCCGUCCCGCCGCCCCGCCACCACGAAGCUGCAGCCCGAGUGCCGGAAGCUGCGUGCGCAGGGUGGGUGGGGUGAGGGGAUAUGAGGGUUGGUGAUGAGAGCGGGCGGGGGUGUGGAGGAGGCGCGUGGAAGCGGCUCAUGAAAGGAGUCACUUGGAAGCAUUGCGGGAUCAAGUGAAAAACGGCAUGCAACAGGCACUGCGAUGGGGCAAUGUACAGUAUAACGCCCCCGAUUUCCUGGAAUCUCCGUCUGUGCUGCUCGCCUCCUCCACCCCUGGGGCCCCCGCACCCCGUCCCCACACCACGGCCUCACCCCGAGUAGUCCAGCAGCAUCUGCAUGAGACUGUCGCCGUGGUAUUUGGGCAUCACCAGCCGCACCGCCGUGUCGUACCCCACCACGAACCUGAGGGCACAUAGCAGGACCGAGACGAGGGAAGGAGGGGGAGUGGAGGAGGAGGGGAGAUGGACGAGGAGCGGAGGGGGAGGGGUUACGUGCCCGAGACAAACAACAAAAGGUCUCAUACAGUCAUCAGAAGAAGCAGCGGGCAACAGUUGUGUUAAAAAACGAAAUAAAAGCCCGCCCAGACGACGCCGGAGUUACACGCAACAGUUUUGUGCGUGUCUUGGUUGCAAGGGCUCCAACGCCGAUGGUCCGCAGUAGCACCAGGCCCAACCCUCCCGCUAACUCCAGCUCCCACCGCCCCAGGACUCGUUUCCUCCCUGUCUCAUCCUCCGCCGCUCACCGCGCGGCAUGCAGCAAGCCGGCCUUGUCGUUGAAGCGCGGCGCCCUCGUCACCACCACCGGCAGCCCCGCCGCCACGAAUUGCGCCACACGCGCCCGAAUCUCAUCGAGCCCCAGAAGACCCUGGCGCCAGGGGGGGAAUGCAGAAGUGGGGAGCGCGGACGUCAGUUCCAAGGCCAAGGGAGAAGCGCGGGGAGGUGAAGGAGGAGGCGAGGGGAUCGGUGAUCAGUCGAAGCCAAUUCCAAAACGCGGGGUACCCGACGCUCUGCUAACCCGUAACCGCCCUCACCCAGCUUUGCUUUCUCGCGAAAGAGAGUGGAAAGGAAUCCUUCCCCCGCUGCCUGUGCUCCGCUAGUUUGGCUUGGUUUGGUUUAAUUUGGGCUGGUAAUUACAACCCCGCCCGGCCCUGCCCACCUUGUCGGCGUUCUCCACCGUGAGCUCGAAGGCGCCCUCCAGCUGCCGCCCCGCCGCCUUGCUGGCCGCAGCCACCGCAGUCGCCAGCAGCUGCUUGUGGCCUUUAGGGGUGAUGUGUGUAUGUGUGUGUGUGGGGGGGGGGGGGGUUGGUAGGGGGUUGUCGAUACCAGCCCAAACUAAACCGAACCCAGUGGGGGUAGCUGUCCAGGAAAGACGAGCGGGAUGUCGCAAGGUUGAGAGGCGGCGGCGGCGAGAAAAACGGGGAGUAGGUGAGGGGGUGGUGGCAGCGGGGGAGCAGCGAGGGGACAGCGAAGCUGUGAGAUGCAAGGCCAGUAGCACCGCCUCCACACCGCCCACUGUCCCACGACCCAGAGCCCACGGCUUCGUGCCCCCGGCCCCCGCGCCUGCUAUAAUACUGUUCCUGGCUACACCUUCACUUCUUAAACAAUCAUGAAUGUACCCCGCCCCCCCCCCCCAGCCAGGCCCCCCUCACCGUCGUGCAGCGGGUUGAAUGAGCCGGGCAGGUACACCCGCCCCGGCCGCGGCGCGUCCACACACACCUCCGCCGGCGCGCCGGACGGCCCCCCGCCCGAGUACUCCACACAGCGCACCUGCGCCGCGGCGGGGGGGGGGGUGAUGGUGGGUUUGGUGUUUCGGCAUUGUCGUUGGUAUUGGUGGCUCGGGGUUCCCUGCCCCCCCGGGAACGAACAACGUUACCCCCCCCCCACACACACACCCCUCACGCAAGCCUCUGCCGCAUACCACAAAUCAUUCCGCCGUAUCCUCGAUGCUGUGCUGCAAGAGGCCUUGCAGAGUAUCGUACAAAGCCAUGCUCGUCCCCUGUUCCCCUGCCUCCCGCCCCUGUUCUACCUAUUUCCCGCGCCCCCACCUCCCCAGCCAGCAGGCGCUGCAGGGGGUCGCCCGCCGCCGCGCAGUCGUCGUGGAGGACGUCCGGCGCCUGGGGGGAGGCUGUAGCAGCAGCGGCUGUAGUAGCAGCGGCUGUAGUAGCAGCGGUGGCUGUAGCAGUGGCGGCGGCGGCUGCCGCCCCCUCCCCCUGGGGCCCUAUGAGUGGCAGGGGGAAGUUGGCUGCGUCCACACCGGAGGCCUCCGCCAGGAUCUGACGCAGCACGUGGGGGGGGGGUGUUACACGCAUUAAGUUUACGAAGUGAAGUCGUAGCCAGAUACAAAGGUACACAGUAGUGGGGAGGGAGGGGUAUCCGUUGAUUGAGGGGAGCCCACAGGGCCUGACCGUGGGGCCACACCGACUUCACACACCCAAACACACAAGCACGCAUACACCCACACGACCGGUACCAGCAGUACAUUCCUUCCUGUGCGCCCUUCGUAGCACACACAUACACUCACGCCCUUCACACACUGCCUCCCCCGCCUUCCGGCCCCCGCCCCCUCCGCCCGACAUCGUCGGUAAUGAUCGUUGUUCCCCCCAAAAAAUGCCUACCGUCUACCACUUCCUUAAUUAAUCAUGAAUGUAAACCCCCGCCCCUCCCCGCCCACCCGCACCUUAACAAGCAGCCUGCUGACCAGGUCGUCUUCGCCCACACGGCUGCGCGCGCCCUUGCUCAGCGUGAGCGACACGCAGCGCCGCCCGCCGCCGCCGUGCACCGCCACGUAGGCGCGGUGCUCGCCGCGCUUGAGAGGGAACUGGAAGGGGGUGUGGUGCGGUUUGAGGGGUGGGGUUGAGGGGUGGUGGUGGUGGUAGCGGGGAUUGGGUUUGUUGGCAGGGGCGCGGAUUGAGGAGAGGGGAGAGGUCAGCCAUAAAGGGCAGCAGCGCACUGGCCCCUGGCGUCGCUGGCUUCAGAUUGGAGAUGCCACGGACACACCCCUUCUUUCCAGCACCGCAAUCAGUUAACUGUGCCGCCCCACCCUCCCCUCAGCUCCAUCUACACCCGAGCACGCCCCCACCCGCGCGCUUGCCACGUCUCCGGGCCUGACACUGAUCCCUGCCAUCAGACCUUUCAUACCCUCUCCCCUCUCCACUCUCCACCGCCCCGCCGCCCAAUCGCCACCCCGCUCCCCCUACUACUCCACCCACCACCGGCACCACCGCCCUCACUCACCGUGGCCAGGGCGCAGGUGGCGCCCACGCCCACGAUGCCGUCGCCGAAGCCGCUGAGGGCGGCGGCGCGGCGGUAGGCGGCCUCGGCCAUGGCGGCCGCGGUGCCGGCGGAGCAGAACUGAGCCGGCUCCUGCGUGUGCAGGUGGAGGCGUGUGUGUGUGUGUGUGUGUGUGUGUGUGUGUGUGUGUGUGUGUGUGUGUAUGUGUGUGUCUCUGUGUUAAAGAGCACAAGGAAAACGUUGUGUGUGUGUGUGUGUGUGUGUGUGUAAGAGGCGUUCGUGCGGCAGGCGCGCGCACGUGUGUGGUUGGGCGGGGAGGAGAUUCCUCUUCUGAUUGUUUGCCAAGCUGCCUGCGUCCAGACUUGGUUGGUUUGGGCUGGCAGCUGAUCGUCACCGCACCCCACCUGACAAUCCGGUCGGGACCAAUCGCGUACAUGGGCAUUUGCCUUUACCCAACCCCCAUACGCGGGCCAUGCCCGGUGCAGGGCACACCCACAGUGCCCCCAUCCCCGCCCCAAACUUUCUCGUUGGGCCCGGCCACAUAACCCCCCCCCCCUCCCGUGCCCCCUUCCCCACCCCUACCCCACCUUGCCCCCCAGCACCUCCACCAGGCUGUCGCGGGCGUACGGCACCGCCGCCUCCAGCACCGUGGCCGAGGCGCCCGGCACCGACAGCAGCCAGGAGAUGGACUGCGAGCAGGGCAGGGGAGAGUGGCGAGUGGCGUGGCUUGGCGGAGGGGUCACGUGGGGGUGUGGUGAGAUGUGCGUGGUUGUGGUUGGAAGUGAAGCAAACAGGGCGGACGGGGCGCAGCUUAGACUCUUAGCGUGUUGUGCCAGCUGUAGAAGGAUAGAAGCAAGCGCAUACUACAACGUGACCACGGUGACACGCGUGGCAAAUCUGCGGCACCUUGCCCCGCUGACCCCGCCGUUUUCCUCCUCACCUGCACCGCACCGCCGGUUGUGUACACGACUGCCUUUGUGCGACUGGCGUGAAUUCGCUUGAUAAGCGACUCGACAUCCGGGGGAAGCUCCUGGGCCUGAGCAACCGCCUGUGGCGCGGCGGGCCCGCGCACAGCAUGCGAUGCCGCGCGAACACUGCCCGGUGCUGCUGCCGCCCAGCGCAGACUGGCGCAUUGCGCCUUAGGCAGCACACGCAUGAUGCUGCCGGUGACUAGGGAGGUCGUGGCCCGGAGAAUAUGAAGCGGGAGAAGAACUGGUUUUGCAAUGGCGCGCAACACUGACUUCAUGAGAUAGUUUCAACUAUGAGCAGAAGCGCGCCAGUGCCGAACGCACAGCGGCUGUUUUAUUUUUUUGCGGGGAGUGAGUCAACGAGUUUCCUUUCGAAUGCAUUUCCGGGCCCAAUUCGUGCUUCCUACUGCGCUCUUUAUGUGGACUAGCCCCUGAACCCGCUUUACCUACUAGAUAGCUCUUGACUCCAUGCUUGGACAGCUCAACAAGGCUGCCCGUUUGGGCCGGCCCGCUCCUGCAGCUCGACGGGCCAUGCGCGUGCGAUGCGCAGCUGUUGCCGCGCCGACACAGCAGAAGCUCAUUGCGCUGGACUUUGAUGGCGUGGUGUGCGACUCGGUCGGGGAGAGCAGCCUGUCCGCCUUCAAGGUGCACACCUCGAGCUGGCGUUGCGUGCGGGUUUCGGGCUGCACGAGGCCUUCUGAGCCGUCCGCCAGGGCACAGCUGGGGGCCCUGCAUGCAGUCGCUGCAGCACUGACGCAAUGACCUCAUGAAUCAACCUGGGAUCGUCAGGCCGGCUGGCUUCAGUACGAGUGUACAUACGGGCAGAGGGCGGCACAGACGCCGCCUCACGCGGGACUUGCUUCCGUUUGCCACUUAACCGCCUCCCCACGCAUUCUCCUCCCCCUCCCCCCCUCACCCUCCCAACUCCCAUACGUACACACACAUACACCCCUCCACGUCCCUAGCACCCCAACCAACGAACCAACCAACCGCACACGCACACACGCGCCACCCCCAGGCCGCCGCCAUCCUGUGGCCGCACAUCUUCGAAACACCCGCUGCCGAGUCCCGCAAGGGGGAGCUGGUAGAGAAGAUGCGGGCCGUGCGCCCCGUGGUGGAGACCGGGUGAGCGCCGGUGCUGAGCCUGCUGGGCCGGGGGGGUCGUGGGAGGGGGCGGGCAGGGCGGUCCGGGUGUGGGCCGGAGAUUGCGCGGCGCCGGAAUGGGCGUGUGCGAGUGGCGUCAUGGCGUGUCGAGCGUGUUUGGUGUCAUAGGUUUGCAAUGGUGGAGUGAAGCUGGCUGCCUGCCCUCAAUCUCACAUCUGCAUGGAUGAUGAAUCCCGCCGCGCUCCCAACCGCCACGUUGUCCGCAUGCCAGCAACACGUUGUCCGUGUGAUGUGGACAAGUUGCCCCAAUGACGUUUGUUAAUGUGUGCGUGCACAGGUAUGAGAACAUCGUUCAGAUCCGGGCCCUGUACGAGGGCGUGUCGGUGGACGACAUGCUGAGCAGCUGGGAGCACCUGCUGCCAGCCAAGAUGGCGGAGUGGGGGCUGCAGCGAGGAGACGUAAGAGAAUGCGUGUGUUUGUGUGUUUGUGGGUGGGUGGGGCGGUAGUUGCGAAGAAGCGGGCGCAGCGGAGUAGCGGGCGUGGAGGGGGUUACAUUCUUGAUUAGCUAAGGAAAUGGUAGACGGCGGGGGAGUGUUUUCACCUGCCCACGCCACUUCUCCCGUCCGAGGCCACAAUCGUCCAAAGCACGGGAUUGAGAACACUGCCCUCCCACACCCAUGACCCACAUGCGCACACACAUACACGUUCUUGUGCUUUCUUAGCACACCCCUACACACGCGCGGCCCCCCUCCCUCCAGAUGGUGGAGUUGUUCGGGCGGGUGCGUGACGACUGGAUCGCGGCCGACCUGGCUGGCUGGCUGGCGCCCAACCGCAUCUACGACGGCGUGGCGGACCCGGUGCGCACGGCGCUGGCGGCACACCACGUGUACAUCGUCACCACCAAGCAGGUGAGGCCGCGCGCGUGUUAGCACAACGAAACCGGGAAGCGCCCAUGCGUGCGUGUGCGUGCGUGUGUGUGUGUAUAUGUGUGUGUGUGUUCAAGAGCAGAAGGAAAACAAAGCGCAACGACUGUUUGUGUUAAAGAGCACAAGGAAAACGUUGCGCAAAGACAGUGUAUGCGAUGCAGCAAAGCGACGGUUUACGGAUGUAUGUGUGUGUGUGUGUGUGUGUGUUUGUGUGCAUACCUGCUGCUGUGAGCCGCCGGUCUUACCAACCGGAAAUCGCGCAACCCCCGCUACUCUAACCUCGAGGGGGGAUUAGUGUCCACACGCUCUCAAGGGUGCAAACCCAUGCAUGUGCUCACGGUACCGUGAGGCCCAGGCACUCCUACGAUUCCUAGCUCCGCGUCGCUACUCCUGGCCGCUAGACUGUUUGUGUGUGUGUGUGUGUGUGUGUGUGUGUGUGUGUGUGUGUGUGUGUGUGUGUGUGUGUGUGUGUGUGCGUUUGGUGCUGGGAGGAUGAGCUGUGAGGCGCAGCCGGGACUUGCAGCGGUCGCGGCAGGCGGCUGUGGGCACAGGGAGGCCCGCCUGCCCGAGCAGCCCAGUGCAGCCCACCGCAAGCGAAGCGUAAGCGGAACGCCACCGAACCCGCCACAAUCACACCCCACCGCCAGCCGGGCCAGCACCCGCCACAGUCCCAUCCUCGCCACAGGCGCACCAUCACUGACAGCCACCACAUGCAACCCUAACUCGCCACCCACCGCCGCACCACUGCGUGCCCGCACCCACCGCCACAGGCGCACUACACAGAGAUCCUCUUGCGCGACAUGGCGGCAGUGCCCUUCCCGGCAGGUGGGCAGCGCAGGCAGCGCAGGCAGCAGCGCGGCGCGUUGGCGUGGGCAUUGGGGUUGGGGCCUGCUGCUGGGCUUGCAGCCGCGCCGUCUUGCUCGCAGCCCGACCUGCCAAUGCUGCCGUGCUGCCCACCCAACCCCCGUGGGACCCCCCUUGCCACCACAACCACCACAACCACAAGCACCACCACCACCACCACCGCCACCACAACCACAACCACCACCACAACCACCACCACCACCACAACCACAACCACCACCCAGCCAUCUCAUAACCAGCAGCCUGCCAACCCCUCCGUCUCGUCCUCCUCCUUGUCCUCCUCCUCCCCACCCCCUCCGCCCUAUCUUCCGACUCCUGCUCCUCCUGCUCCCCCAGACCGCAUCUUCAGCCAGACCGUGUCGGGCCGCCCCAAGGGCGAGGUGCUGGCCAACCUGGCGGCGGCGCACCCGGGCGCAGCCGCCAAGAUAUUCGUGGAGGACAAACUCAGCACGCUGGAGAAGGUGGCCAAGUGGGUGCCGGGCGGGUUGCUGGGGGGGGGUGCUGGGCGGGGUACUGAGCGGGGCGCUGGGUUGGGGUGAUGGGUGGAGUCGUGGCUAAAUCUGAGGCUGAAGCGGGUUGAGGACUGGUUGCGAGGGGCGUUGGCCCGGCUGCUUGGAAGAGGCGGAGCUCUCAGGACGAAUAGCGGACGCGAGACGUUCACACGAACAGCGGCGCUUUGUGCAUGUCCCGAAACACAGAGGCCUUUGACACCUAUUCCGCCACUACCGCCACCGCCGCCGCCGCUGCCGCCCUCACUGCCUGUCUUCACCCUUCCACACGUGCGCAGGGACCCCUCCCUGUCCGACUGGAAGCUGUUCCUGGUGGACUGGGGGUACAACACCCCCGCCGAACGCGCCCGCGCCGCCGCCCACCCCGCCAUCACCGUGGUGGACAAGCAGCAGUUCGUGGAGCUGCUGCAGCCCUGAGAAACAGGAGGAGGAGAGGGAGGAGGAGGCAUGUGGAGGGAGGAGGCGGAACAGGAGGAGGAGGCGGAGGCAUGUGGAGGGACGUCUGGGGGCUGUGUUGCGUAGUUGCGUCACUCACUUCUGUCGCCUGGUGUGAUCUUGUACGCGUGUGUGGUGCUCCUCGGCGUGCGCUUUGGGUGAUGCUGAUUGCUUCGUGAGUUUCGGGCUUGUGUAUGACUGUAUGGUCCAGGUGAGGAAAAGCACAGCUGCAGAUUGUGUGGUUGUGCGUGUGAUCUGAUGUCGUAAGAGAGAGGUCAUUGCGAUGAGCGCUAUGGUGGUAGCCUCAAGAAGUGUCGUGCAACAUGAAUGCCAAGUGACUGGGUGCGGUAACUCGGCUCGGCGCAUGUAGGCGACGUUGACGGCCGUUGCAGGACUGCUGCAGGACUCGUAUGGUGCUAGUUUGAACUGCGCUACUGCGGUGUGCAUGGGUGUGUUUUGGUUCCGUGCAUACCGGGUGCGGGUGCGGGUGAGCAGCUUGUGUGGGGAUGAGGCUGAUGGUAGGACUCGACAUGGACUAUGUUACAUUCAGAUCAGAGUGCCUGCAGCGUUGGCAUUCCACACAUGCAUGCCCCGCGCCGGCUUAGUCCCUGGGCAACACACCUUUCCUUCAUUACCCCGUACAGCCCUGACUGCCUCCCAGGCCAGCAAUACAGCCGUACCUAUGUACUCAGGCUGUACCGACUAUGUACUCACUGCAUUUCACCCCAAUCCCAAACCCAUAACUGUAGUAGGGCUGCCGGCAUAAGACAGCCCCAAUGCGUGUUCUGCAGCAGGGGUUCCCUGUUCCGCGGGGUUAUGUACUGAAUGUGGCGUAGAACCGCAGCGGUUCGCCUGCACCAACAGUGACACAUACUCUCCUUGUCACCGCCUGAAGCCCUGAGCUAGUAGACUACUUGAAGUGCACCGUGAUGGUGGCGCGUCGCAUGCUGUGGCACCAGCCCGGGAACGCCGCGCACUGCAUCAGCCGCAGCUCAUACCCGCCUGCUCCCCCUCCCCCGCCCGCCGCCGCUGCCGCCUCGCCGCCGCCAGCAACCGCCGCCCCGCCGCCGCCAACCGCCGCCGCCCCGCCGCCGCCGUACACUUUCUCAUUCAGGUCCUGCACGACCGCGCUGUCCGGACCCUGCACGACACGGUGCGUCUGGUAGUUCCGGUCGGCGUGGCGGUUGGUGAACAGCCGCCCCGGGUCACCCUGUCGCAGCGGCUGGCCGUUGGGCGGCCCCACCAGCACCAGCUCGCCCCAGGUCCAGCUGUUGCGGUAGCUGCCACGGUCGGAGGGGUAGCUGCUCCAGCCCUGUGGUGGUUGUGUGUGCGCGUGUUUGCGCGACGGAGGGUGCGUGAGCGAGCGUGCGAGUGGGCGGCACCGCAGGCGGUGCCAAGGCCGCGAGGAGGUUGCUGUAAGUAGCGUAGCUUGCGACGUUCCGCACUUCCGCCAAGUCGCUUGGCCUGGCCGGGCUGGGCUACCCCGCCCGCUACCGCCGCCGCGGCACAGAAAUGCCAAGCGGUGCUGCCCCCGUGCUCCAACGCCCGCGUCCAACCAGCCGCGCCCGGUCGCACCUGGUCGUGUGCCUCCGCCUCCACCGCCACACUCGUCACCUCCGCGCGGCCGCCAGACAUGGCCGGCAGCGGCGCACACAGGUAGGCGCUGCGGCCGUUGUGCUGCUCCCGCUCGCCCUCGCGAGUGAAGGUGAGGCACUGCCGGAACCCGAGCUCGACCAGCACCCGCCUGCAGCACACAGGCGUACCGUACACAACAAGGCGGCGGGCGGGCGGGGGCUUAACGUUGCGGUGCACGGCCCUCGCCCGACACCCGCUACCAGCGCAGCCCUUCACAACAGGCCUUGGCCCCCGUGCAGCCCGCCUUCCAACGCCCCUACACACCGCCGUCUGCAGCCCACACUGCCCCACCUGACGUGCUGCGGCUGCGGGCUGCACGCCGCCAGCCACUCGCAGCUGCACAGCGCCGCCACCAGCGCCUCCAGCUGCCGCGGACCCAUCACCACCACACGGCCCAGGGGACCGCUGUCCUCCAGGCGGGGGCCACCACCACCGUCACCACCACCAUUACCACCACCAGCAUCAGCGGGUGCAGCAGCCGCGGCAGGUGCCGCGCUGCCCGAUGCCGGGGCGCCGCCGGCGCCGCCAGCGCCGCCAGGGGCUGACGAUGCAGUUAAGCAAGGAAGGUGCUGCAGCUGCGCCUGCACGGGGAACAGAUGCAGGUCAGUGGCGGUCAGACGGGAGCCGGGGCCAAGGUGCCACACACAUCACACAGAGCAGCUCAGCCCAUCCUGAACGCCUGCAACUGCUGUUUCCUCCUGCCCCAUCCUGCUGUUAUUUCAACCCCGCUGGCACCAACCACGGCGUUCCCUAGUCCCCCUCCCUCCUUCCGGCACGCACCUUGCUCAGCCUCCUCUCCCUGUCCUGCCUCCUCAGCUGCUUCCGGCCGCCUGCCUCCACAAACGCCUCCAGCGCCGCCCUGUCCGCCAGCACCACCCGCACCAGCUGCAGCUCCGCCACCACCUGCAGGAAACUGCUACAGCCCAGGAAGUCAGCCGCAGCCGCAGCCUCAUUUGUAAUUGCGGUUGCGUGACCUGCCAGGAAGGCGGAGAGCCAAGCACGCCAGGCCGGGCCUGCUGCUGCCACUGCUACUGCCGAGCCCCCAGCUGCUACUGCUGCUGCUUCUGCCGCUUGUCGCUGCAGCGCCCACUCAUCCAGCAGCCGCAGCCCCAGCGGCGUGAUAGCGGUGGGUACGGCCGGGACCACCACUGUGCGGGCAGCUGCGGGGGUGGCGCUGCCGGCGUGGACGUCCUCCCCGACCAGGUCUAGCAGGUCCCGCACCACGGAGCAGGUGAGCGCCAGGGCCAGGGACAGGCUCACGUCACGGUCGGGGGCGCCAGGCUGCAGCGGGGGGGAGCGGGUUGGUAGCACAACAGGUGAGCAGCGGGCGAGGACAGGGCGGAUGCGGACGUACGUGCCGAGCAAGGGUGCUGGGCAGCUGGGGAGUGGCGGCACGUCGGCCCUUGUGAACAGUUGUGGUUUACAGAUCUGCUGAGGUGUGACGGCUCACCACUUGGUCGGGCUGGCGAGGCGCGAAGGCGAAGGGCGGUGCAGAGGCCGCAGGCUCGUCUGGCUCGCUGGCUGCAGGCACAUCGCCUGCGGAGCCAGCGGGUCGGGCCUCGCCUCGGCUGUCAAUGUAUCGGGGCUCCGUUUGCCACUUAUCCAGCGUUUGAGGCUUUUAAGCAUUUCACGGUAUGGUCUGUGACCAGGUAAGGCUGGACUGGGUGCCGGGCGCGACGAUGCACAAGACGCGACAAGCGCACGAGCCUUCCUGGAGUCAGUACCCUUGGGAUAAUAUGGGAGCUGCAAAGUAUAAGUGGAAAGCUCAGUGCAAUUAAUGGAGCGCUGACUGAAGCGUUGUUUAAGAACCCACCCGGACGAAACCGGAGUCCAUUGCGCGCACGGUCUGGUGCGUGGCUUGAUGGCGCGCCCAUUUCAUAUGUGCCUUUCACUGACGUCCAUAAUCUGUUUACGUGGUUGGGGACCUGCGACAGUGGGCCAAACGGCCGGCAAAACACAGCACCAGACAGCACCGCCCCUGGUCCGGUGCCGCGUGAAGGAAGGGAACAUGUAUGGCGCCAUAGGGGGUCCCUGUCCCUUCAAUUGUAAUUCGCAUCCAUAGGGGGUCCAGCAUGGGUAGGGCCUGUACCAAACGACAAGUACCAUUUCUUACUGCAUUAGGAUAUUAAUGUACUAUAUAGGAAUGCGUUGGGGCCGCGGGUGGAUUGUAACGCGCGGGCACCGCGGGCUCACCGACAAACCCUGCCGGCCCGUUGGCGCAGCCUUUAUGUCGCGACGCUCUAGUUUUGCAGAUUGGUUCCAAAUUUUGCAUUAUCCAGCAUGAAGAGGCGUGCCCUGGGGUUAGCCUCCUUCAGAAAAGUGCGAGAAGCUGCAUCAUGCACCCUGGUCUCUCCCCCCGCCAAGAUUACUCACGUCAAACAAAGCACCAAACAAUUGGCUGCAUACUUUGUGACCUAGUGUAGCGGCGCAACACAAUUCAGGCAGCCUUGACUGGGUUUUCUAGAACAAGUCUUGCCAAGUGGCGCCGCGGCCUUCGUAAUCAAAUGACUUACAGACUCUGUUACCCGGUAUAGCUAUUUAUAACGCGACCAGGCGAACUCUGCGUAGUCGCGACUAUCUCUUAAAUAAGAAGCGGUGUUUGAACUGGCUUGACUAGCGUUUGGAUGGCAACCAGGCUGGUUGCGCUGCUGACAACUAUGGCCGGCUCAGGAAGUGCGCAGGCGCAGCCCGGGAAGCUGCCCAAGCAGCCGAGCGGCCGCGUCAUUCCCGGUGUUGACAAGAGCCAACUUGCCGGCCUGCAAGCACGUUGCCUACUGGCCGCGUGCAUUGCGCUAGCCGGGUUUUUAGUUGUUAUGCUGCCAAUGCUGGUCCUCCUCGGGCUCUUCAUUGCGCCCGCCUGGGUCUGCCUCGAGGUGCGGCGGCGUUCGCUGUGCAGCGCUGUGGAGGGGGAUGGGGCGGGGGCGGCAGUGCGAGGACGACAGAAUACGCUGCAGAUUCUCCAAGCAGGAAGUGGAAAGUGGCGCAUGCACUGUCUCCGGAGCUUUGUUAUGCUGGGGGCGGGGUUUGUAGGAUUGGCAACGUGUGCCUGUGCACCUCUCGCCAAGCUACCUACCUGGCCGGGGUAGUCACGGCCGUUGCGCGCCCGUUUCCAAAUGCAGGCGGCAUUCUUCGUGUGGUGGCAGAGGGCUUACGCCCACCUUAACCAGCAACCCAGUCUGCACCGUCCGGCGGAUCCCGGUGAGGCGCGGCACAGGGAGCUCCCAACUGCGGUGCUCACAGGAGCUCCUGCUCUUAGUAUGCCGUCGGCGGCUAGCGUGUGCGACCGCAAAUGGACACGUAGACGUCAAGAGGAGCAACAUACUUAGGGGCGCCGCAACCCAACUGUACCCACUCCGGCUUUCCCUUGCAGAGCAUGCCCGCCGCGUGUUUGACCGGUUCAUCAAGGACCAGGCAAGCAUCUCCAAGUACAUCUGCAUCAAAAAUGUGCGUGGCUGUGUCUCACACAUGGGCGCAAGGCUGGGCGGAUGGACCGCACAGCGUGCUCGGGAACGCAGUAGCUGCAACGGGAUGUGGGUUGGCGCCUUGGCGGGAAGGUCCUGCACCUGCAUGCCCAAUUGUGCCGUAAUCUCAGCGUCGCGCCUGCGCCUGCCUGUUCUCCAUGCCGACGCCGCCACCACAGAUGCUGUCCAAAUGGUAUUGGGGCGUGCCCGCGGACAAACUCACAAAGCGCGACGUUGAGAGCCUGUGAGUCGCGGCCGUGUUUUGCAAUCGGGGCAAGGAGGGGGCAUACGGGCAAGAAAGGGCAAUACUUGAGCAGGCAGGUGCGCCUGCGCGGCUCUGCGCGGCAGUAGCUUGCGUGUACGGCUAAGCGUCCGCGUCACUGGCAACCAGUCCCCGUCGUAGGACCCGCCUGAAAGAGCCGCACCCACCCGCCUUCGCUCCCGAUCUACAGCCUCCUCUGCAUAAACCCACAACCAACAUGCGUACCGCCUUUACCGUACUCCCUCCUCCACCUCCUCCUCCUGGCUCCUACUUCCCUUCCGUCCCACAGCCUGUGCUACGGCUUCUGGUACCGCAGCCGCGAGCAGAUGCGGGCGGACGGGCUGGGUGACGUGGCUGACUCGCUGGUGGCGGAGCUGGAGGCGGCCUGGGGCGUCAGCUUCAAAGACGACGCCGACGCCCAGCCGCACCCCAUGAUGGCGCACCUGUGGCAGCCGGUGCGCGCCUUCUGGCGGCCGCUGGGCUUCUACGUGGCCAUUGAGCUGCUGGUGGGGCUGAAGCACGUGAUGCUGCUGGCGGCGGGCUUCAGGCCCUACAUGGUGGGCGGCCUGCGCUACUACACCUACGGCCUGCCGCCGCUGACGCCCGCCCAGGCGGCGGCGGAGCUGGUCGCGGUGCAGGUGGGCACCGCCAGGCGGGAGCGGGAGCAGGAGGGCCACCGCCAGGAGCAGCAGGCGGCGGCGGCGGCGGCGGCUUCACAGCGCCGUGGCGGCGCCGGGCGGCGCGAGGCGGAGGCCACGUCAGCUGCGGCGCCGCUGCUGUUCCUGCACGGCGUGGGUCUGGGGCUGCUGCCCUACCUCAACUUCCUGCUGCAGCUCAGCAGCCUGGGCCGGCCGAUGGUGGCGGUGGAGGUGCGGCACCUGUCCAUGCGCGCCUGCUCCGAGGUGCCGGAGGAGGACGAGGUGGUGGACUGGGUGUGCGCCGCGCUGGACCGGCACGGCGUGGCGCGGAUGCACGUGGUGGCCCACAGCUACGGCACCUUCAUGGCCAGCCGGCUGGUGCAGCGGCGGCGGGCGGCGGUGGCCAGCCUCACGCUGCUGGACCCGGUGUGCUUCAUCAUGUACAGCGGUGGGUUGGGUGGGAGUUAACUCUGAACCAAGCCCAUAAGGGUUGAGUGGGAGUGGGGCAGUGGGCUGGUGGGUGGCUGGCUGGGUGGGUGGGGCGGACGGCAGGCAAUUGGCAGGCGGGUGGGUUGGGCAGAGAGGCGGGUGGGCCGAGCCCCGGCCGCGUUCUUACAACCUUGCACUACAACCGCCGCGACCCACAUCGCCGGCCUGUCCCGCCGCACAGGCAAACUCAUCUACAACUUCGUGUACCGCAACCCCUGGGCCGGCGCCUCCUUCCUCACCUGGUUCAUCGCUCGCGACCUGGCGCACUCGGUGUCCGUGAGCCGGCGCUUCUACUGGUCGCUGCUGAACUUGUGGCCCGACCAGCUGCCCGACCACACGCUGGUGGCCAUGGGCGCGAGGGACGAGCUGGUGCCGGUGCCGGUGAGCGGGGGGAGGAGGAGCGGGGGACGCUGGGGAGGCGGGUGCGCGGGGGGGGGGGGCUGCGCAGUGAGUGAGCGGCGGCUGGGUAGGGUGGCACGGGGGCUGCUGUGUAAGGCCUGCCGUGCCUCACCACCAUGCCGCGCCAUGACCACGGCAACCCCUCGCUGCCACCUACUUCCUGUGCACCUGCUCCCUAACUACCACCCUGCCCGCCUGACCUCUUUACUCUCCACACCCAUGUCGUGUCCUGCUGCCCAACCUACCCAACCUGCAGGAGGUGCUGACCAUGCUGGAGGCGCACCCCGACACACGCGUGCUGCUGCACCGCAACCACCGCCACGCCGACUUCAUCAAGGACCUGCGCUGGCAGGCGCGCAUGGUGCAGGAGGUGGCGGAGCUCAUUGCGGGUGCCUGCGGCGGCGGCCGCAUAACGCACGCGCGCAGCGACAGCGCCAGCAGCUAUGAGGUGAUGGCCGGGCUGAACGGCGGCAUCAGCGGCGGCGGAGCGAAGAAGACCAACUAGCUGUUGCGGUGAGGUGGAGAGGGCGAAGGAUGGAGGCAGGGGAUGGAGGAGGGGACAUGUGGCGGAAUGGGGCUUGCCGAAGUGCCGUGCCGCAGGCGGACGGGCGGCGGGCUUAGGCGUGUUGCGUGGAAGAGCGUAUGGGGAAGGAGUGGGCAUGGCUAGCCCAUAGCGCUGGCAGAAUGCAAAGGCCGGGCGUAGCAUAUUGCGGUGCAUGAAGAUGAAGUGUGCUUGAUCCCUUUGUAUUGCUGUAUGGCCUUGCCGGGGCAGGGCGUGCUGCCGCCACUGUGAAAGAAACAAGUGUUGCAACGAGGCCGUAUAUGGCGGUGCGUGUGUGUGCGUGUGUUUGAUGCCUGGACGUGUGCUCGGCAUCGACGCUUCAGGAAAGCCGAUGCAGAGUCAACGCGCUGGGGUGUCCAUGUGGAUUAUAUUAUGGGCCCGCGUGCUCGUAACCUUGCAUGCUGAUUGUGUGCGCGUGUACUUGCAGUGAGCCAGGUUGGCACACGCAUGAGUGUGGGCGGGCAGCUGGGGGGCGAGAGCGAAGAGAGUGACCUGGGCGGAAGCACUGGCCGCUUGCGUGUGACUGGGUGUGCCAUCGAAGAGCAACGCUGAUCGAGUACUCACCAAUAGCACCUCGUGUGUGUGUGCGCUCGUGUUCUCUUGCGGCCCCUGGGAUAAAGGUGACCUGAUUGAUUGUGGCAUAGAAAUACAGAAGUUCUGCUCUCUGCUGUUGUUCUAGCUUGUGUAGCUGACAUGGCGUGCUGUCUUGUGAGGUGCCCAUGGCAUGGUCAGCCACCGAUGUUGAAUCUGUGGCCCUCGAUCCUGAAUGUGUGGCUCUCAUUCAUUUGUGAGUUGUGACCAACAAUUUUGUAGGCGUACCGCUUGCCUGUGAGCGUAGGGCCGGAGCAUACACGCAUGGUAGCGUGACUUGUGGGCGUAAGAGCAGGGGAGGCGUGAAAGCUAGCCAAGGCUUGGACCUAUCUCACGAUCUGACGGCGUGUCAACUAUAAUGGGCCUGCGUUUCCUGCAUUCUUGGACGACGAAAUAUUGUACGGGGAGUGUUGGUGUGGGGCAUGAGAUUCACUGCGGCUCUAUGUGGCCACGUCCUGGUCGCAGCAACGUGAAGUACGGCAUGUGCUGCGCGCCAAACCGCCCGUCGGGUGUUGUUCGGCGGUGCGUUGCUACCGUACGUUUUGUUCGCAACUGCGGGGGACUGCACGGCGGGGCUGUGUUGGGCGUGGAAUAACACGAAACACCUUGUACGCAUCAUCGUGCUCUGAUGACAUACGAUGGCUGGGCAUCAGAGACAGGUGCCUAGGGCCCUAGGCUACGUCACUUGUGCAACACAAAUGCCAGACGCCUGUCCAAUACAUACUGCAGGGUCGAAUGCGGGUUUCCCGCUAGCUCAUGCGUCGCUUGCACGCACGGCGCAACAGUGAUUGAUACGGGAAGGCAGCUGUGUAACCCGCGUCACUGCCGCACGGUUGGAAGACAUACAGUGCCCGUUUGUGAACGCCUAAACGUCCGUGCGGGUUGGAGAGUGGGGGUGAUGAGGAAGUGCUCAGAGCGGGGGCUAGGGCACGGUGCGCCGCGCCUCCGACGCGCGUGAAGGGUAGACGGAGCUGCCAUGCCAGGGCCUGCCAGGGCCAAGUUGGGAGGUUAUGUGAGGGACAUCGAUGUGCGUCGCGGGUUUGCUGCUCCUUCACCUCCACACUUCAAGCAAGACGUCGAGUCUGAGGUCCGGCCGGGCGAACUGGAGCAGAGUCAGGCGACGCGAAUGCAGCGGUUACCGUUACAUGGCAACAGCCAGCAACAGCCGCUGUACUCCUAUCCCAUUCCGACGCGCCCAAAACCACCUCGUUAUCGACGUGCUUUAAGAAACGCAGUUGUUGAUGAUUAGGUUGGGCUCGAUACUCUAAGAAGAGCAAAAGGAGGGUAGUUGUGAAGCUUACACACGGCGACGCAGCACUCCGCCGGUGAACGACUUGAUGCUGCCGUCAGCGUCCAAUCUGGGCUCCGACUGGAUUGCAACCGUGGGCGUUUGCCCUUCCGCCGACAUGGCGGCGGCGCAUCAGCAGCAGGCCCUGGCGGGCUGGGCUGUGCGACAGUGGCUGCCGGAGAUGUUGCGACAGCAGGUGCAGAGGGACGCGCCCAGCGUCGAAGCUGCGUACACGUCAACCGUUGUGAUUUUUGUGGCUUGCAGGGGCCUGUGGUCACCUGCAGCUGGUGAGCAGCUGCGAGGCCGCAGCGUCAGCCGACCCGCCUGCUAGCUAGCAGGGCGGCGAGCACAACGCCAACAGCAGCGGAUCACACAAUAUUUUGGGGCUGGUGGGUGCUGCUGGGGCUCUCGCUUAUAUUGUCCAGCGAGCUGCCGGGUGGGCCGGAGGCUUGCGAUGCCGCAGCCAGCGUGGGGGGCUGCAAAGGCGGCGCUUCAUUCGGCCGGGGGGAGCAGUCGUACCGCGUCAGCGGCGCCGGGGCUGCCGCUGCCGGCAGGAGGGGCGGCGGCUGGGGUCAACGGCACCACCAGGCGGCAGCACCAGCAGCAGCGCAUGCUGCAGCACAUGCGUGACAUGUCCGUGCACAUGGAUGCAGGCUGGGCCGCGACUUUGGACGACGGUGCGUGUGGAUCUUUUCCACUCCGUGCGGGUGCAGACAGAAGCGGCAGAGCCCCGUCUCAGUGGCGGCGGCUGGACGCGCUGCGACCACGGCUGCCGCGACUGCUGCUGGUGUGGAGCUGCCGCCGCCGCCAGCCGUCUUCGUGAUGCCGACACGGCUGCUGAUGCAGCUGGGCCCCGCGAGCAACCCGCACGUGCUGCUGUACGGCGGCGUGCCGUUGGCGCCGGGCGCGGAGCAGGUGGAGGCGCUGCUUGCCGAGGCAGGCCUGGUGCUGUGUGGCAACCCCGCAUGCAGCAGCAUGGAGGAUUGGAGGGCGACAGCGAGGCAGCGUGCAUGCAUGGCGGUGGGAGGUGCGGCGGCGGCGGGGCAGCAGCAGGGCGGCUGGGGCGCCGCCCGCGGGGGCGGAUGCGGACGCAUCAAGACGUGCUCCCGCUGUGGCGUGGUGCGGUACUGCGGCGGCGCGUGCCAGCUGCAGCACUGGACGGAGGGCGGGCCGGGGCUGCGGGGGGCAGCGCCGGGGCGGGCAACCGUGGGUCGCGCCCAGCCGCCCAUAUUGAACUCGCCCCAGAUGUGCGCGCCCCACAUACAUAGUUGCGAUUAUACUGGCGUGCGGUGCAAGCAAUGCAAGAAGUCCACCUCGUUCAGCAUUAAGAAUUGGGGCCUGCAGGAGGUGCAGGAGAUGACUGGCCUGUGCGGCAGUGACUGAGCGCAGACCGGCUCGCCUGGAUUACACUGGAGGCGCGGGCGUUUGCGGGCUGGAGGGCGUGGCUGAUUGAGUGUGGGGGUAAGUGAUCAGACGCACAGACACAUGGUUGUGAGGUGUGCAUGUUUGUACUGCCGAGUGGGGCGUUCGUGUGAGGGUGCAUGCUGCCGUGCUGCAUGCGAGCUGUUAUGCUAAUGGAUACAGCAGGUAUGGUGAAGCAGGAUCCGCAUGGUGAAGUCGUGACAGCGCAUGAAGGUUGCUACCGGGUGUGUGGUUGGCGCAGAGACUUGCGCAUUACUGUGACGGGGCGGCGCCCUGCCAUUGCUGCUGCAAGUGUUCGUUGGGGCCGCGCCCAGGCCUCCGGUCAGUGUGUUUGCGACAAUGCGUAAUUGCUUAUGUACCGCGAGUUGGUGGCUUGUGGUAUGAUGGAGGCGCGUGGUGGGUGGUGGAUACGCUGCGCGUGCUUUGGCUGUGGGAGUGCGAGGCAACGGUGGCAAAGUUCCAUUACUGUGUGGCGUACGGGUAUCCCCAGACCCGCACAUUAGGUAGAGUUUAUCAGUCAAAGGCGCAAUGGCGACGCGCGAGUGCAAUUUUGGCUAUGACGAGUGGUGUGGAAACGAAUGCGUACGUAGGCCAGAGCGGAUGGCGGAGUGGGCUUGCAGGCGGCACGAGAGUAGGCAGUCAGUAGCGCAAGUUGCGAAUUCACAUGUUACCUCGUAACCGACGGUAAACGCUGUGGACGGUCGCGCCCAUGGCUGGCUGACGGAAAGCGGCUGCUGUAUUGGGAUGGCUGGGCUGGACGACGGCGGCCAGGCGUUGCUUGGGACUACCAGAAAGGAUGCGCCCGAAACCAACCUGGAGAACACCAGCGCCACCGGUGCCCAACACGACAUGUAUGGGAGGGAGGGAGGGACAGGAGGCGUGAUGCACUGCCGCGUAAAAGCUAUGGCGCUAGGCGCGAGGCAAGCAAUGGCUAUGGGAUUAGGGCGAUAGAACACGCAGGCGUUCCUGUACCUGUCUUCAACAAGCCGAGCACGGCUUACGCGAGGCCCCGUGGUAUGCCAGGCCAUGGCGCCGACGCAGCCCAGCUUUGCGCAAAUCCUAUGUCACGGGUGCUUCCAUCUGGCUGGCCUGGGUUCACGGUGCUGUGACUGCCAUUGACGACCCCGGCAGCUCAGCGUCGUCUGCGGGAGCACGCAGAGGGCUACCUGCAGCAGGCAGCGGGGCGGCCGCGCCCCCUACACUGGAUCCCAGUGGGGCCACUAGUGGCGCCGCACGGCCCUUGCUCCAACCACGCUGCAGCCACGCGUCCUCACCUCCGGUUGUGAUGUUGGCAUGUUCGCACUGCUCGCCACUUCCGUACACUUCGGGCUCCCUUUCCUGCGUGCCUUGCCGCGCCCUGUUCUUGCCCUUGCUUGUCACGCUGUCGCCCGGCCAUUGCUUGCUGCACGCUGCUCGCAAUACUGGGGUUGUCUAUCAUCGGUGCUCAUCCGUGGACGUCGGUCGCCUGAUUGCAGGUGCGCUACCACUCAGCAUCAUGGCGACACCGUGAUUGGAGGGCGUGUCAGACUUCACCGUAGUGCUAGGCACGUACCGUACCCGCGCACGAUCACCGCGCAUGUAAAUAAAGUCUUUGGCUGAAAAGUCGAAUUACCGCGCACUUAUGAGGGGGUGCGCGGUCCUGGGAACAAAGUCUGUUGGGGGUGCGCGGUCCAAUGGAAAAACCCGGAUAGGGCGAGCGGAAAGCACGUGCUUACGCCAGCCUUCUAGUUUUGUGCGCAAACAUCCAAAUUAGCGUACAUCCUUCGCUAUUGUUUUAUUUACUACAAAACACUGGGGGUUCAGGGCUGUGGCGAAGUGGCGUUGCACUGUGCCGGCUGAGACUGGCGGUGGCGCGCUGAGUGGCGCGGGGGUGAGGAGAUGCGCGGGGCUGUGGGCCGGUUCCGAAGCCAGCACCGUAGUACCGUACAGUACUGCGCAGUUUACUGGCUGCGCGGUCUUGCAGGAAUGCUAAGUAGGGGGGUGCGCGCUCCCAAAAGAAUACCGGAACAGGGGUGUGCGGUGCAAAAAAUAAAAGUUGACCCGGGAGGGUGCGCGGUGAUCACGUAAACGUACGGUACGCAGCCAUGGACGCAUGGACCCAUGCAGCGGCGCCACUACUCACCAUGCCUGACCGGCGCCAGUGCAUACUUCCAGUACCAUCUCACCCAUUUUCUGCAGCCAGUCAGCCUUCGUGUCAGCCCGGCCGCAGCUAGGCAGCCACCCUGGUUUGUUUUCCGCGGCCGUCCUCCACUUGACAACCGCCUUGCCGCAUCCUUCUUUCUGCCGUUCUCUUUCCUCCUGUUCUCGCAUGUCCUCCUGGCUCACCGCGGAUGCCUGGCUGCGUUCCAGGUGGGUUUAUUUUGUGGGUUUCGCGUUGUCGCGAAUGGCAGCCUAGUCGCGCGCGAGCUGGUACACGUCAGCCCUGCCCGGACCGGCAGUCUGCUUCACGCCAGUGUAACCAUUUGGUGCGCCUGCUGUGGAGCCGCGUGGGGCUGUCUCAUCUCCAAAGGUAACAAGCAACCGCACUUGCUGCUAACUCUAACUUCUUUCUUGCUGCUUGCUAGCCUGGAGCACUCGAUGGCGUCUAGCAUUUGCAUUCACACUAGCUUUCAUUUCUCUGAACGUAGGGUAGUGUGGUGCGCAACAGGUAGAAGGAUGCGGAUGUUACAGAGGGGACAGUCCCAGCUCCCGAAGACGCCGAGCCAUCACAUGCUAUCAGGUAGAAGGGGUAGAGGCGGGCACCACUGACCCGCUGGAGAAGGCGUGCUGAGAGAGCUGUAGUCUGAGAGAGCGUUUCGCAACUAAUUACAGCCAAUGUGCGAUGCAGUGCGGCAAACCAAAAUUUUGGGAUCAGGCUUAUUUGUAUCUGCACAGGGCCACUUUGUUUGUCUCAGGAAGAGGAGGUGGAGUGAUGGCACCUACAGUGCCAUCACUCCACCAGUGCACCUACCUGUAGUGACAUGUUCGGUUAUGGAAAAUGCUUGAAAAAACGCAACACGCACAAGCGAACAUGACGUUGUAGAGCCGAGGCCAGUGAGCUAGCACAAGCAAAAAGAAAAGCGUGAGCAUGAGCAGCGACCGCAACUGCUACGUUACCUUUGACGAGAUAACCGCGCGCCAAGCUGCGCCACUCCGGCGUCCUAAUGCUUGUGACUCUCAGCUGCAGGGCUCCUAUCUUAAUGUCUCCAGACAUUAAACGGCCAUUUUGGCCAUUUUCCAGACAAACGGAGGGGGGGGUUCACGCACGCUUUUGAACAAAACAAGCGGUGUCUGAGGAGAGGCAAACUCUACCAUAGUGACAUAUAUAUUUUGUAGAAAGUGAGGGAAUGUCAUGGUCCUUUAGGAGAUUUUCGGCGAUAUGACGAGGAUGAAGGAUACCCCGAUCAAGUCUUCCUUUUUGCAGAUGCGCAGAGCCGGUGACGAGGAUUUGCCGGGGAUGCCACAUUUUAAGGUAUAGCAUGUACGCCGCGCAGGCAAGCGAAGGCUCAGAGUUGCUUGGGGAAACGCGCUGCGACAUGCCUGUGCAUAUGAUCGCAUUUGGACUUGUUCAUUAGUGUUGCACUGCGUGAAACAGAUACGAAAGCCGCCGUUUACAGUUGCGAAAAAGCGAAAUUGCAACAUGUCAAGAUGUCUAGACAUUUUACAUGGCUUCCACAAAGGCACUUUGUCUAGACAAAAAAAUCGUGGAUUUGGGGGCCUGUUUGUCUACCCCCUUGACAAAAAUUUCCGCUCCAGAGGCCAGGAAUGUCUGGGUCAAGACAUUCCCCCGCAAACAAGAUACGACCCCUGCUCAGCUGGUGUAUACGGCUGUCAGAGGCUGGGCUGGCGCAGACUGGCCGCAGACUACCAAGCGAAGGCUGCGAUGCGUUGUGAUAACGCAAACCCCAAGAGACCCACCUGGAACACAGCCAGGCAUCCGCGGUGAGCCAGGAGUAGUACGUACAUGCGAGGACAAGAGGAAAGAGAACGGCAGAAAGGAGGGUGCGGCAUGGCGAGUGUCAAAACGUUGAGGCCGGCGCACGUUCGGUAUGGCGGGAGGAGCGUCCUACUGGAGCAAGCCCACUAAAGCUAGAGGAGGCGGACGGCGUUGCAGGCGGCACGCCCCUUGGGUCCAGAGCAGGGUGUUCAUUCUCCACGCCACUAGCUCGUGAACUGCGUCAACGUCCUGCGUAACCAAUGCAAUCUGUAUGUGAAAACAUUUCAUUUCCAAAAACUUUGGCCCGUUUGGUUCUUAAUGAGAUUUGAACCCAUGCAGAAUUCCUAUGUAUCUCCCAGACUCCGACAUCUAGGCAUUCCUCACUGAUGAGAUGAUCAAAUAGCGGCCGCUGCAUAUAUACAUACUUAAUAUUCUGGCUUCAAUGCACAAUGUGAAUCCCGCCUUACCAAGGAUUUGAGGCCGCGGUUGCACCAUUCUCGCUGCGCCCGAAUUUUCCCGCAAUAGGUAUUAGGUAAUAUGUAAUAGCAAAUACUAACACGUAGCUGUCACUCAGCCCAAGAAUGCCAAUGCGACCACCACUACCAGGCCCACGUGUGGGGGGAUGGCGGGGAAAAGGGGGGAAAGCAGGAGCAUCAUGGCGACACCGUAAUUGGAGGGCAUGUCAGACUCCACCGUAGUGCUAGGCACGUAGGGUAGGGUGGUGCGAAACAGGUAGAAGGGGUAGAGGCGGGCACCACUGAGCCACUGGAGAAGGCGUGCUGAGAGAGCUGUAGUCUGAGAGCGUUUUCAGUACGGCCAAUCAAAAUUUUGAUACCAGGCUUAUUUGUAUCUGCACAGGGCCACUUUGUUUGUGCACUCCGCAAUGAGGAAUGUAUAUUACAUUUAUUUUACAUUUUAUUUAAAAAAAAUCCAAAAUAUUUGCCCAUUGUGAGAUUUGAACCAUUGCGGGUUCACCAAAUUUGUUGAUUUCCCGGGGGCCAAGAAUCUACGCAUUCCUCCAUGAUGUGGGUGUCAUAAUAGGGCCUCUACGUGUAUAUAUACCUAAGAUUCUGGAUUCAGUGCAUUGCCGCAACGCAUUGCCUAAACACCCUUGAUGCUGAAUGGCCAAACCUGAUGCGGACGUGUGUGAGGGACAGGGUUUAGGCAAGUUGGCGAGGUCCCGUAGGGUGCAGCUGGUGCCCAUCUCCCAAGCAGGCGGCAGACAGUUUGCAGUAGCAGAGCAGAAGUGCAUGGCUGGUCGAACGCCGGAGUUACUGUACCGACAAGUUGCUGGCUGGCUGGAAGUUUGCUGUUGUGUGUGGUUUGCUGAUGCGCAUUCCGCAUGUGGUCCACAGCUCAUGUUUGAACCAAUGCUGCCAACUGGAACUUGUCGUGUAAUUGCUGGUGUGUGGCCGGGGCCCCUAUCUGAUAUUUGUGACAUAUAAUUGGCAUAUGAGCAGGCCCUGCCACUAGCUGUGCGUGCGCUGGCCCAGGCAUGUCCACGUGCGUGCGCAUGUCCCACUCCGCUUUCCGCUCUGGUCUACGUACGCAUUAGUUCCGCAACACUCGUCAAUGUCCCGGCCGUCACUGCAAGGGGCGUCAAAGGACUUGUAGUGUGAGGUAGUCAUGCGCUGUAGUCGUGUAUGCGUCAGGGAUCCAGCGCAGUGGCGGCAAGCCAGGGUGGUUGGGUGGAACCCCACGCGCAGGUGGAAUGCAGGGGGUGAAUCAGGGUGGUGAAUCCCUCUUGCACCCCUGUCAAAAACCAUGGGUGCUCAACACAACCCCAGCCCUUUGCUGAAACUAUUUACCCACUGCUUAUGCACAAACACCUACCGCUACGCAGUGCCCCCUGUCGGGUGAUAUCGUGUGUGCGGCACGGCGCAACUACCUAGGCCCCCGGGGCGUGACAGGGCGUGCCGCUAGAAGCCUGUGCCCGUGUGCCGGUGUUACUGCUGAUGGUUUGUCAUCCCCUGCAUGGCGGGCUGCAUGGGCCUUGCCGAGGGGUUUAUAGCACUCAACCGCGACCUGGCUCGCCGGUUGAGUUGCCACCAGCGCAAGCUAGCAGAAUGACUAUCACUCUGUGACAACUCAUACCCAACCCACGAGCCUUGCAUGCCUCUGUUCCUUACUCCGCCGCCUUAGUCUGCGUCGGUCUGCCUAGGCCCCGCAGCAGCAGCCAGCCAGCUCUACGCUGAACAGCAAGUGUUAUAACACGAACCUGGUCGUCCCCGUCAGCGGCUAGGAUUGAUCAGGUUGAUGGGUUGACCCCCUGGACCGGAUCACGGCAAGCGGCUGGGGACAUCCUACGUGUAGCAGGACGCUCGAGUUCAGAGAACCUGAAUGCUCGAUACCAAUGUAGCAGCAGGAACGCCGUAAAAGGACUUGAUGAUGAGCUGGGGCUACCCUUAGAGUAGGGACUUACGCGCCGUCAGGCCUUCCUCCCACAACUACCCAAUGCCCUGCGAUUUCAUCCCUUGGUGCGCGGAAGCAGAGGAGAGGACGGAGCGGGGAGCGCCGACUCGGAAGCGGGUUUGCGGUAGAAGGCGCUAAACAUGAACUAAGGAGAGAAAGACCGGCUCAGCCCCGUCUCGAUCAGGGAUCAAUACUGAAGUAUCAAUAUUGACUGGCCGGAACACUGAGCGCAAAGGUUUUGCAGUUGAGAUGGCCUGUACGGCCUUGACGUUCGGUAUUUUCGGCGCAAGGGGGGCCACCGCCGGAAGCAAUCGAAGCACUGGCAGCCGCGAGCCAGGACAGCGCGGCGGCGGCGCCAGAAGCGGGGCCAAUUCCAUAUGAGCAUGGGCCACUGGCGGCACAUGUCAGGCCUGGAACGACUCCAGCCAAACCGCCCACAGCUUGCGCCAGCCCUGCAGGCGUACGUCGGCGGCAUCCCCACGGCGGCGACCGCGUCGGCGGCCCGGUUUGAAGAGCGCCUGCGCUACCUCUUCGCCAGUGGGGCGGCAGGGCAGGCGGCGGGGCAGGCGGCGGGGCAGGCGGCGAACCGCGACGUCUCCGCCGCCAACGUGAUCCGUGUGCUCCUCCUGCUGAAGCUGAUGGGCUUCGAGCGGCCGACCAAGCUGCAGCGGCCGCCAUGGCCGCCGGCGGAGGCGGGGCCGGGCUGAGAGCCUGAACGGCGCUAGCAGGGCGUGGGGCUGAGGGUGCACGUGUCGAUUGGCGGCGAGUGACGUGACUAGUUUGUUAGCUGCGGGUUAGCACGGACUGUGCACCCCACCCAACCGGCCACGUCCGGAUUUGCGGGGAUGCCAAAGGCCCCCAACAUAGAGGCGUGUGCUUAGUAGGCGCCCGCGUCAAGGUGGCUGGGUUGAUAACGACCCGGGAUCAGCCCUUUUCCUGCCAUAAGGCAGCCACCUCCUUGUUAGCCAUCACAACGCCGCACGGCCGCAGCUCGGCAGCUCAGGGCCCCACAACCGUCCCUGCGCCUUCGCACAGCUGUACGGCUUGCCGCUCACGGCGCCGCCGUCAGCUUGACGCCUGCCGUUUUUUGGGCUGAGCCCCCUGAGCGAAGCGAUCCAGGGGGGGCGAAGCCCCCCAGGAUUGCCCCUGUCCGUGCCUGCCUGCCUGCCUGCCUGCCUGCCUGCGUUGACAAAAAGUGCCAAACUGGUGCAAACCGCGAGCGCCACGUAUUAUAAAUUGCUAUUCCCUAUUGUAGAAAAAUAGGCGGCAGGGAAAACUCGGCUGGAGCGAGAAGCGACCUCGCGAGUCCAUGGACAUCUUGACUUUCGCGAGGUCGCGAGGUCGCAAGGAAAGCAGCCCUGUCACGCGGAUUCCACAAAGGAAGAGUUGCCAACUUCAAACUUUCCCCUUCGCACCCUUGUAGCCGUAGCACAGGCCAAACAAUUCUGAAGUCCGCCCAACCUUGCCCGUGUUAGGGGUGUGGGCCGGCUCCCACACCCCUAACGUUCAUAAUGGUUCAAACUAGCACCCGUAAGGUGUCGCUGCGAAGCGUUUGCAAGGACGGCCUGCCUGCGUUGACAAAAAGUGCCGGCGGCUGCGUCAGCAGGUCAGGCAGGGGCUCUGGUCCUUGGCUCACGCAGCCACUCACUCACCCGGCCACUCGCUCAGCAACGCACUCACUCACCCACCUUCACUCACCCACUCACCUUCACCCACUCACUCACUUACUUCGCAUUUCAGGUCAGGCAGGGGCCCAAACCGGGCGCUGCUGCGUCUGCUGGUGGACAAGUACGCCCACCUGGUGGUCUACGUGGACGAGUACUACACCAGCCAGGUACGCUGUGGUCUUCACAAAGCAAUGCGCACAACGCUCAAUGCACACGUACCUUACCUGGCGCAAACCUAUCUCUGUGUCUGAGCAGGUGUGUGCGAAGUGCGGACGGCGCCUGCUUGGUAACGGGCAGCGCUGCCUGGAAGUUGUGAUUCCGUUUGGUGGCUCGCGUGCCCGCGACGUCCAAGUGUGCCAGCACUGCGGGACUGUGUGGGUAAGUGGGAUGGCAGGUUUGGGGCGGCAGGUCGGUUUGGAGAUGACGACACGGGAUGACACGGGAUGACACAGGGCGGUUUGGAGAUGAUACGGGGUGACACACGGGAUGACACACGCCCUGUUUGCAUGUUGAACUGCAGGGCCGCGACGCCAACUUGGCUACAAACAUGCGGCACGCGCUGAUGGAGAUGCUGCUUGGCAAACCGCGGCCUGCAGCCCUGCGACCUGCUGGCGGCGGUGGCGGUGCAGGGCCUGGCGGCGGCGGUGGCGGUGGCGGUGGCGGUGGCGGUGGCGGCGGUGCAGGGCCUGGAGACGGCGGUGGCGGCGGCGGUGGCACCGCGCCUACCGGCGGCAACAGCAGCGGCCACGGCGUUGGGCCCGGUGGUGGCGGCGGCACGGGCGGCCCUGGGCCCAGCGGCAGUGGCGGCGCGCAUGUUCGGAGCAGAGGGGGCAGGCAAGGCCACGUGGAGGAGGACAGCGCGGCGCCGCCUUCAAAGCGGCGCCGGCGCGCAGGUUGAGACCUGCCGGUGUUGUCUGGUUAGCGACCUGUGCUGACGAGGAUGGCGUAGCGGGCAGUCAGCUGCAGCGGCAAGGGUGUUGAGAGGUUUUCCUUGCUGUCUGGUUGGCCUGCUGCCUGCUGCACUAGUGCUUGAUAGCUGGGCGCGACUGGGCACAUAUGGCGGGCGGUGCCUGUACAAACCGACCCCGGCUAUGUCCGGGAGAUGAGGCUAGUAUCGGAACCUUCGGCCUCAGACGGAGGACGUGGCGUGGCGGCACAGCCCACUUUUCCCUUGCGAGGGAGAGCCACCUUUUCUUGUCCAUUCCGGUACGCACGCCGCGCCUCCCCAUCACGUACGGCCUGUCACACUCCCACGUGCUGCAUCUAGCGUCCCUAGCACACGCAUGCACACAACCCGCCGGUGCUGCGUAUAAUGGAUAGUAGCAAAAACAGCACGGCCGCCCCCUCUACACACACGUACGCCAUGCCUUCCCAACAACAGCACACCCGUCCCCUCUACGCAGACGCACGCCACGCCUUCCCAUCACUACCCGUCACAGUCCCACACGCUGCUCCCAGCGUUCCUAACACACACGCACACACAACCCGCCGGUGCUUCGUCCUAUGCUAAGUAACAAUAGCAGCACGGCCGCCCCCUCUACGCACACGCACGCCGCGCCUGCCCAUCAAGGCCUGUCACAUUCCCACGUGCUGCAUCUAGCGUCCCUCAGUGCUCGUAUCUUGUAGAUGCCGUCAGGCACCCGGCAUAUACACAUGCGUAGAUGACCCUGGCCGCGGCAUCUACACUUAAGCCCCCAAGCCCCCCAAAACGUCUACACUUCCCCCAUUUUUGCGCCAAAACCGGCCAAAACCGUCUACACUGCGUGCGUAGAUGCGUGGCACCCAUCACGGCCAGUCACACUGCAAUGCGUUGCACGUAGUGCCCCUAGCACACACGCGCACACAACCUGACCGUGCUGCGUCCUAUGCAUAGUAACAGUAGUAUCAGCACAACUGCUAUCUACGCACACACACACCACGCCUUCCCAUCACGGCCUGUCACAGUCCCACGCACCGCAUACGCAAAUGGUAACCUGCCGGUCUUGCGUCCGAACGCUGCAGUGACAGUAUGGCUGUGUGCAAAUUGUUUGACAUAGAUGGCCAGGUUGCGAUAUGCGACAUGUGACAUAGCAACAUACGACAUACCCACAUACUACUCGCCCACAUUUGCAUAGCAGGUGUGUGCGAAGUGCGGACGGCGCCUGCUUGGUAACGGGCAGCGCUGCCUGGAAGUUGUGAUUCCGUUUGGUGGCUCGCGUGCCCGCGACGUCCAAGUGUGCCAGCACUGCGGGACUGUGUGGGUAAGUGGGAUGGCAGGUUUGGGGCGGCAGGUCGGUUUGGAGAUGAUGACACGGGAUGACACGGGAUGACACAGGGCGGUUUGGAGAUGAUACGGGGUGACACACGGGAUGACACACGCCCUGUUGAACUGCAGGGCCGCGACGCCAACUCGGCUACAAACAUGCGGCACGCGCUGAUGGAGAUGCUGCUUGGCAAACCGCGGCCUGCAGCCCUGCGACCUGCUGGCGGCGGUGGCGGUGCAGGGCCUGGCGGCGGCGGUGGCGGUGGCGGUGGCGGUGGCGGUGGCGGCGGUGCAGGGCCUGGAGACGGCGGUGGCGGCGGCGGUGGCACCGCGCCUACCGGCGGCAACAGCAGCGGCCACGGCGUUGGGCCCGGUGGUGGCGGCGGCACGGGCGGCCCUGGGCCCAGCGGCAGUGGCGGCGCGCAUGUUCCGAGCAGAGGGGGCGGGCAAGGCCACGUGGAGGAGGACAGCGCGGCGCCGCCUUCAAAGCGGCGCCGGCGCGCAGGUUGAGACCUGCCGGUGUUGUCUGGUUAGCGACCUGUGCUGACGAGGAUGGCGUAGCGGGCAGUCAGCUGCAGCGGCAAGGGUGUUGAGAGGUUUUCCUUGCUGUCUGGUUGGCCUGCUGCCUGCUGCACUAGUGCUUGAUGGCUGGGCGCGACUGGGCACAUAUGGCGGGCGGUGCCUGUACAAACCGACCCCGGCUAUGUCCGGGAGAUGAGGCUAGUAUCGGAACCUUCGGCCUCAGACGGAGGACGUGGCGUGGGCUCAGCCCACUUUUCCCUUGCGAGGGAGAGCCACCUUUUCUUGUUCCAUUCCGGCUGCCGUAAUAACUGCGAUAUUACAAGAAGGGACAGUCCGGCCAAGCAAGGCGAUACCAGGGGGGGUAGAAAGCUCAGAUUCUUACCCCAUGCUCAAAAUUACAGAGCUUUAGGAGAGCAUUAUGCACGUACUUUUAGUUUCUUAAGGGGGUGUCUGGUGAGGAAGUUCUGGGCCGCCAAAGUUGGGGGGUCGGUCCUCGUCCCUGGGGGUCCGUCGGGUUUCGGGAGCCCAUCCCGGCGGAUUUCGGGAAGCGCCCCACAAGCAGAACUAGGGGCCAAACGCAGCAGUACGAGGCUCAUAUGUGCACGUUAUGACGUAAUAAGCACAAACAAAGCGUGGGAGGGCUAAGUUGCGCGUCCGGGCGUGGACAUGUCGGGACAUGUCUCCACAUGCAACACAUGCGCACUGACACAGCUUGGCUCUGAAGCGCUGGUGCGCUCGAGUUCACGUCUAACAAGGCUGCCGGUGCACAUUGUCCAUUCGUCACGCGGCAGAGAGUUGAGCGCGGGAUGGUCUGGGUCGAGGGGAUUUCCAUGGAUAGGAUCCCGCCGGUGACCGAAGUCUCAGAACAGGACCGCUGAUGACACGGAGUGAUAGUGCUCGUCAAGAGGAGUCGAUUGACACCACUUUGGUAUUAAAUGGAGGGGUUUUAACCCCUGAACAACAAGGUUUUGUCCGUCGGGGGAUCGGUCGUCCCCUCAAGGGGGUUCCCGGGGGAUUUCGGGGCAUGGGGUCUGGCACUUUGUUUCCUACCCCCCCCCCUGGCGAUAUUACAAGAAGGGACAGUCCGGCCAAGCAAGGGUGCCCAACACCCAGGUCGUAAUGCAAGCUCUGCCAGUCUGCCGCCACCCUCUGCCCUGCACAGGCGCACCUGCGAAGACUGACUUCCGUGGUGGCAGCAGUGUUACAAUCACCACCACCGCCACCAGCUGCUGCCACACGUGGUGGAGCCUUCACAUCGACAGCGGCGGGCGUCGCCUCCCUUGCGCUGAAUGUGGGCGGGAUGCCCCAUAACCAGUGCUCGUAUCUUGUAGAUGCCCUCAGGCACCCGGCAUCUACACAUGCGUAGAUGACCCUGACCGCGGCAUCUACACUUAAGCCCCCAAGCCCCCCAAAACGUCUACGCUUCCCCCAUUUUUGUGCCAAAACCGGCCAAAACCGUCUACACUGCGUAGAUGCGUGGCACCCAAACCCAAAAAUUUUUCUCCGCCUUCGGCGGAUUUGGGGCAGAUUUCUACAGUGUAGAUAGAAGAUACGAGCACUGGCCAUAACUUCAUUGCAGUAUAGCAGCAUGAGGCCUUGCCGGCCUCCCUGCUGUCCUGUAAUCUUCCUGGAUCUCUCAUGCCACCCACUCAUUCACACUCAUGCACUGGGCAGACGUCCUAUGCUGUACACCCUUGACGCAUUCCUUUUACAAUCCUCAGCACGCCUCAGCGGUGAUUGUCCUGUUCCCACCUCACGUUACCGUACCUUACUUCCGUAGGCUGUGCAGAACUGCCGCGCAGGCAACGGCAGCGGGGCCUGCCUAGGCAGCAGGCUUCUUGGAUGCGUCACGCCAAGCGUAUGCCAAACCUGAGCUUGCCUGCCUUUUGCGCUCUGCUAUCUGCUGUAACGAACCUACAAAUGCAGCCACACGCUAAUACACACACAGGUCCGGCCACUGACGUUACGAUUCCCGCGUGGGCACAGGGGUGUAGUAUCAUGUACGGUAUUCGUGACACCAGGAUACUACAAGUGCAAAACAAAAUGAAAGCUCCUGAGGACAGAGGCCUCUCCAUCAAAAUCCAGGAUGUCAAGCCCUAGCAUCCUGACCAACAUUUCCAUCGCAUACACAGACACACAGCGCAAGAAAUGAUGCCCCCGCAGGCGCUAUCUGGUCACGGGUAGCCAGGUGGUAUUCUGGCAUCUGGGCAUAAGGCCGCAUACAGUCCUACGGCCGCGCAGCCUCUCCCAGCACAUCAUUUAAGACAACCCCAACCCUCCUUCCAUGUGUUUGCACUCAAGGCCGACGAGCAGCCAGGCAAUGCACCCUGCAACUCGUGCCUCCACCUCGAGGACAGUGUACGCUGACACCCCGCGUGCGCAUUCCAAAGCGGGAUGACAUGCCCGCGCCUCAGGAGGCUGCGCAGCGGCCACCAAGUAACCAACAGAGUCCGCAAAGGCGACACCUUUACCCGGCACUUCACCAGCCUACACGGGUCCGCUACAUACACAGGGACCCACUUGACACACCACGCGAAACCAUGGCCGCACGCCCUGUGACGCGCCGAAAUGACCGCACGCGCGGGUACACACAGGAAACAAACGACGAGGUGCGCGGCGACUGCUCUACGUCCGGGCUGCGGCGGCGGCGGCUGCUGCGGGCGGCGGCGGCAGGGUGACCUCGACGUCGGCGCUGAGGCCGAACCAGCCGCCGUCGUAGGUGGCUGUGUGUGCGGACGUGAGCGCCACCUGGCUGCUGUCGGGCGUGCGCACCAGCAGCUCAAACACCUGGCGCAGGGAGGCCAGCGGGCCGUAGUUCUGGGGGGGGGGGGAGAGGGAGGGGACAGAUGAGGAAGGAAGGGCGUGGAGGGGGUCAUACGAAGGGGGUUACACCAACCCAGGAAUGCAGUGCGAGGCUGCCGCCAGGUGUAGUCGGAGUAGAGGAGGCCGAGCGGGGGAGGGGCCAGUCAGUCCCACACAUAAAAUACCGUACAGCCGCCAGGAAAGGAAAGGCGUCCCCCCUCCCCCGCCCGCACAUGCGCGAUGACAUCCAGGCCCGGCCCCCACCGCGACACCACCCGCUCGGAUCCAUCCCACCCUCUCCGCCCUCUUUACCCACCCCACCCUCCACGCGCCCCCAGCUCCACGCCAGCUUCCAGACGUCACGCACCUCCCCCCUACCACCCAAUGCCCCCCACACACACCUGUAUGAGCCACGUGACCGUGUUGUCCCACUGCUCGGCCGGCACCGACAGCCGACUGGCCUCCACUGCGUGAUGCACCAACUUCUCACCUGCGCCUGGCCCCGUGCUUUCGGGGGUGUGGACCCUCGUCGUUACGUUUCGGAGUUCCAGCGGGCCGGGCCCUGGCCGACUAAGCCCAUGGCCUGGCCGCUACUGCGCAGCCUCCUGGUAGCCCGCGCCCCAGGAGGCUGCGCCCCAGGAGGCUGCGCAGUAGGGGCCAGGCCAUGGGCCAAACGGCCAGGAUGACAGUCAUGAUUGCGGGCCCGGUUGCUGAAACAGUCCGGCCUGGCCUCCGGAACGUAACGAAGAUGGUCCCAACCGCCGAAAGCACGGGGCCCACGUAGUCCGCGUAGUCGGCGUAUUCCGUCAGGUGAGGGAUAGUCCUUGCUAAGCCUGCUUUUCAUGAGCAGAAGGCUCUGACGCCAAGCUGCGCGAAAUGCGUUUGAAGAGGGCGCGCCCCAGCCACACCAGGUCCGUGACGAGGUCUGCGCGCACGCAGACUGCUCUUACCAUGCCCUAUUAUCCCCAAUUUGCGCAAGGAUUCGGGCACUCACUUGGCUCCACCCUCAGCUCCUCGAUUCGAGCCUCGAGGGCCUCGAGGGCCGCGGCGUUGGCCGUGGCAUGGGCCGCGAUCUGCUCUUCGAGCCGGUCAAUCCGCUGCUGCAAGUCCACCUGGUCAAUCUGCUGAUGCAUACUGUCCAACUGAGGUUGCGGCGGCUGGGCCAUGAUACCGGCGAGCUGAUGCAAGUUGGCGUUGGUAAGUAAAGGCUAUAGGUGAGCGAUGCGAUGCGAACUUGUAGGUGCGAUACCCCUGCUCUGGCAUCGGUAGUGCGCGGCGCGGGGGCUGGAAUGAAUGAAUACGCGCCCCGCACCUGCCCUGGACCGGUGGACCGUCAAUCUGCGUGGCCUCUGGGCCACAUUCGUCGCCACAUUCCUGCCGCACCAAUUUCAUCCGUCUUCAUCCAAACCUACGUACGUACUUCAGGGCGGCGUAUCUGUGUUUGUGUUGUUGUUGGUUACAAGGUGGUAUCUAGCCCCGCCGUUGCAGACGCGCUGCCCUACCUAGGGCCUGCAGCACUGCAUUCUCACCGGCACACCGCCAGCGCUGCCCCUACUUUGGGGCUGAGCCCCCUGGGCGAAGCGAUCCAAGGGGAGCCGAAGCGCCUUAGGUUUGCCCCUGUCCAUGCGCGGCUGCCUGCCAGCCUGCCUGCGUGUGUGCGUGUCUGCCCGAUGCGUGCGUCCCCCACCUCGAGCUGCCACACUCCCCCACCCAAAGGCACACGGCACUGGCAGACACAGUAAUCCUUCCUUCAGUUCUACGAGCAAGGACGGCUCCACCUCACAACAGCUCCAGCCAGGUGCCCUCCGCGUUGCCCACGCCACGGUACCGGUCGAACCCCUGCACGGUACUGUGGCAAGGGAAGGCACGCGUGGAUGGUGUUGAGAUCUAGGACAAGCAAGAGCAGAGGGGAUGAAAGACGAGUUCCCGUUGUGAUGACUGAAAUUCCGAAAUCCCACAAGGCUAGGCAGGGCACGCGUGGAUGGCGUGUGGAAUGUGCACACCGCGACCAUGCAUCCAUGCCUAAACUGAUUGGGGCCCAAGACCCGUUCUGCAGCGGGCCGAUGCGUGUGUGUGCCUGCGUUUGAUCGUGCGCCUGCAGUGGGUUUUCGUGUCGGCAACGGUUUGGGGUGUGGGUGUUGGUCCUGUGUCUCGUGUCUUUGGAUCCCCUGUCUUUGGUCUGCCCUUGCUUUGCCCCGGAAGGAUGCCCUUGGGUUCCGUGCUUGGUGCGGUUGUCGCUGGCGUUCUGCCUGCUCGUGUUGCAGGGUGUGUGCAAGUGCGGUGCUGUGCCUUUCCCAUUCCUUCUCCUUGCAGCCACCAAAGAAAGCACGCCCCAGCGCUGGUGGCCCGAGUCCCAACGCCUGUGCCUCGCUCCCCAAGUGUGAAGCAAUGUGUUCGUGGUGGGGGUUCUAAAUACCCAAACCAAACCAACACCCACGAAAGCGAGGCAGAGGCGUUAGUUGCAAGCGAUAAUACUUAUUGGAUGUGGCCGAGGCGUCAAUGACGAGUGGAGCAGCAGGGCGAGCGGCGCCGGCGAUAACUGGGGGGAUGAGGCGAAGGGCCGAAGGGGUCUCCGGGGAGAGGCCGACGCCAGGACCUCGGUUUAGGGUUAAAGUUUGGGGAUGCCGCAUAAGCGUAGAGUCCGGCGCAAAGCAUUUGCGCGAAGGCAAUCGCGAAUAGUCAAGUCCAGUGGGGAACUCCAGUGACCUCCACAGUUCCAGUCAGGUGAUCCCCGUGUUCCGGGUUCCUACGUUUCCCCGUUGUUUAACCCCCGUCACCCGGCACCCUAACCCGCGGUGCUGGCUUGCCAGGAGGGCCUCGACAGUCCUAUGCAUGGACGGAGCCGAACAGUGCGAGGCUGUGGCUUGCGGCGGCGGCGGGCGCUGCGUGUGUGAAAGCAGAUAUUCGCAGCUUGGGUAGCUUAGCGCAGGCCCUGAAUACCGUAGCGGUUCUGGUGAAGACACGACGACAGGUGGAACCGUGCAAGAGACCUGACAUCCAAUUUACAACCGUGCGACUUUUGCGGUGUCGCCACAGCAGACUGCAUCCGCCCCCACCCCUACCACUGCGCCCAUCACCGCCACGGCGCCACCGGCUCAUAUCCACACAGCGGCCUACACCACCACACGGCCAUCGCGUGACAGCCUCAACCAAGUAACCAACAGAGUCCGCAUAGGCGACACCUUUACCCGGCUUUUCACCAGCCUACACGGGUCCGCUACAUACACGGGGACCCACUUGAAACACCCGACGCCGAACAACGGCCGCACACCCUGCGAUGCGCCCAAAUGACCACACGCGCGGGCGCACACAGGAGACACACCACGAGACUCUGAGGGUGGCGACUGCUCUACGUCCGGGCUGCGGCGGCGACGGCGGCUGCGGGUGGCGGCGGCAGGGUGACCUCGACGUCGGCGCUGAGGCCGAACCAGCCGCCGUCGUAGGUGGCUGUGUGUGCGGACGUGAGCGCCACCUGGCUGCUGUCGGGCGUGCGCACCAGCAGCUCAAACACCUGGCGCAGGGAGGCCAGCGGGCCGUAGUUCUGGGGAGGGGGGAGAGGGAGGGGACAGAUGAGGAAGGAAGGGCGGGGGGGGGGGUUACAUUCAUGAUUAAUUAAGGAAGUCGUAGGGGGGGGUCAUACGAAGGGGGUCACACCUCUCUACCCACCCCACCCUCCACGCGCCCCCACCUCCACGCCAGCUUCCAGACCUCACGCCCCUCCCCCCUACCACCCAAUGCCCCCCCCCCACCUGUAUGAGCCACGUGACCGUGUUGUCCCACUGCUCGGCCGGCACCGACAGCUGGCUGGCCUCCACCACGUGAUGCACCGCCACGUCACCAAUGACGAAGGCGUCCCAGUCGGGCUGGGCGGACACGGUGAGGUUGGCGACCAGGCGCACCACCUGUCGGGCCAGUGGGGAGAGGGAGGGGAGGAGGGAAAGGGGGGGGGCGGUAGAGUGGGGAGAGGGAGGGGAGGAGGGAAAGGGGGGGGGGGCGGUAGAGUGGGGAGAGGGAGGGGAGGAGGGAAAGGGGGGGGCGGUAGAGUGGGGAGAGGGAGGGGAGGAGGGAAGAGGAGGCGGUAGAGUGGGGAGAGGGAGGGGAGGAGGGAAGGGGGGGAUACCAGCCCAAACUAAGCCGAACCCAAUGCGAAAAAGCGAGGAGGAGAGGGGGGGCUGUUUCCACUAUCCUACGAGAACGCAAACACAAGACCGCAACCCGUGGGAUGUAAACGGCGAGCGGCCAAGGUACGAACUAUGGACCGUGGGCGUGGCCCUCCGUGUCACACCCCUCGCAGCCCACCGCCCACAUCCACCCACAUCCGCACCCCACACGCGCACACCCCCCACCCACCCCUCCCCACCCUGGGUUUGGUUUAGUUUGGGCUGGUAUUUACAACCCACCCCACCCCACCCCCCGUACGCGCACGCGCACCUCCGGGUUGCCCAGGCUGUCGUUGGCCACCACCAGCCCCAUGCGGUAGGCCGCCGACACCGUGGCGCCGGCGGCGGCGGACAGGGACACGUGCGGCGAGUCCAGCGCCUGUGGCCGUGUACGUGUGUGUGUGUGUGUGUGGGGGGGGCGUGUGUGUAUGUGUGUGUGUGUGCGUGUGUGUGCUAAAGAGCAUAAGGAAAACAAGCGCAUGUGUGUUGCGGCGAGCAAACUGGGUGCACGGAGAAGUACUGCUGCUGCUGCUGCUCUCCAAGCCCCUCUGUGGGCUGGUUCUGGGUCUUGGUUUCGUUGGGAAUGGAGUAAACCGCCACCCCCAACCCCAAACCACCACCCUCCUGCUGCCCACCACCCUCCCGCUGCCCACCGCCCUCCCGCUGCCCCCACCUCCACAUUUAUGACCAUGCCCAUGUGCGGGUACAGCGUGGGCAGCUGCGGCACCAGCAGCGCCAACACGUCCUGGGGGGAGAGGGGGGGCAGGGUGGGGCAGCAGGGGGGGGCAGCAGGGGUGAGGGGUGAGGGUUAACUUUGAACCAAUCCCGUAAGGAAACAGUCGCGCUGCAAGGAGAAACUGCAGCCGCAUAUGCGAGCUGUGGUACAUCACCGGGGUGAGGGUGAGGAGGGCGGGCGAGGAGGGGGCAGUCGGAACAGGGCAAGCGCAGCAGUGAGAACAGGGAAAGAGAAGUUGGAGCAGGGAACAAGGAGCAUUGGUAGGGAUAGGGCGGGUUGUCAAUUGUAGUGUGGGGAGGGGGGGCAGGAUGGCAAGAAAUAGCACAGUGGGGUGAGGACAGGCAGACGUGUGUCGCGCAUGACAGGGCGGGCGGCCCCACCCAGGGCUGGCGCGUGGCGAACACUGCUCCUGGCCCGCACUGUUCCCGCCACGCCACACCCUCCCGCCACGCCACACCCCUCUCCACCCAUCUAACCACCCACCUAACCACCCGUGCUACCCACCUGUGCUACCCACCCAGCUAGCCACCCGCGCCUCUCCCCC
rnacentral:lncRNA from 1 species